rnacentral:lncRNA from 1 species
CCUCUCUCUCUCUCUCUCUACCCUGAUCUUUUAAUCAAUUUAUUUUUUUUUCUAAUGCUUUUAUUAUUAUUCAUGCAUGUAGAAUGAUCGAUCUAUUUGAAAUAUUCAAAGAGCUUGUGAUUAAUGUUUUGUUUGAUUCUAAUUGCAUGGGAAAUUAUUUGAAAAGAAUUAUUUUAAAUUUUGUUGUGUAAAAGAUAUAGUGUCGAAAUUAAUUCUAAACUCUUUCCUUCUAUGAGGUCGUAGGUUCAACCUCUACUCUUUAAAUUUAACUGUAAUUAUAUUAUUAUAAGUUAAAUCUCCAUCUUAAAUCGUACGUAAUUAUAUAAGAUUUUUACUAGAUCGAUCUUGUGGAUGACCAAGAGUAAAUCCUUAUAGAAUUCAGGUCUAAUUUGGGUCAGCCCAACUCUAUUUUGUUCGUUCAUAUUUUGAAUCUUAAUUGCCUUUUAUGCCCAACUCUAAAAAAUGUGUGAAAAAAUAUCGGAUAGAAAUGAUAAAAAAUUAGUUGUUUUUUUGGCACUUGGAUUAAAGAAAAUUAUAUCAUUUUUUUUAGCACUUUAAAAUCAGUUAGCUCUUAUAUGUCGCAGUGGAUGAUUCCAUUAUUCAUAAUAAAAAAAAUUUUGUUCAAAGCAGAAUUAAGUUUUUGGAAUUGUUGUUAGUUCUAAUAGAAAUUAGUUUAAAAUUUCUUACGCAGCAAUUUGCUUCAAUUCUAUGAUGCAGAUGCGUAAAGAUACAUCAAUGAUGUUGCACAAAGGUGAGGAGCCAGGGGAGAAGAUGAAUCUAAUGGAUUAUGAGUAUUCCUCUUCAGAGGAUGAUGAUUACGUCCGGACAGACGGUACACGCAGAAGGACCCGUGAAGAAUGGAUUAGAUAUUAUAAACAAAUUGAGGAAAGCGAGGUAAUUUAAUACUUAUCGAGAGUCCGGUUGGAUUAUCGAUAGUAAAACGUUUGGUGCUAUCAAAUUUUUCGCCAUUAGUUUUAAUCCCUUGACUAUUUUUAUCUGUAAGAUUAUACCAUCAAACCAAUAACUCACUCAGCCCUAGAGGGUCCCCAUCAUCCUAAUCGUACAUUUUUUUCAUCCAAGGGUCGAAAACCUAAUAGCACCAAUAACUUUGUACUAUUGAUAGUAUUCCAGCCUAAAAUCGAAGAUUCGAAAUUUUUUUUUUCAUACUAAUUGUUAAUAUAUGUCUUAUAGGGAUUUGACGUUGAUCCGAUUCCGGGCACAUGUGAGCAUGGUCUUACAGGGUUAGAGAAUUUUGAUUCUGUAACCCUCGUCGAAAGUACGAAAGCGGCUAUUGAACAUUUUAACAUCGAGAAUGUACGUUUAUACUGCUUUAUCUAUUUUCUUUUUUGUUCUUUCUUUCUACUUUUUUUUGUUAAUUUGUUAGAAUUACUUUUUGGAAUUUUUUUUUUAAUGCAGAAUACGAGCUAUAAGUUUGUAAAGAUAGAGAGGGCAACUUGCUGCGUUGCCGCAGGAUUUGAGUAUCGUAUUACUUUUCAAGCAGUUGAUGGUGAAGCCGAACCCAAAACAUUCCAAGCUAUAACGUUUUAUUGGAUAGAUUGUAGUAUUACUGUUGACUUUUGCAGGCUUAAGUCCAGUGCAAGUUCAUAAAAUGUGUAUUUCUAGUUAUUUGUUUUUUAUACUUUCGAGUCAUAAACUCAUAAUUAUGUGCAUGUAAUACUUAAUUAACUGAGACAUUUCUUAUUUAAUUGGACACUCUUUUAUAGUUUAGACUUGCACUUGAAAACUAUCUCAUGAAAUGAGAAUGACCUUUCGUAUGGUACAAGUAAGUUAUACUAUUUGGCUUGUAGUGGUGUUUCUAAAGCUUGAUUUAUAUCUUAUCAUUAAUGGUGCUAAAUUUUGUUUUAUGAAAAAAUUUAGCCACCACAGCAAUCGUAUAUUCAUUCAAAUUGGUAACUUUUUGGACUACUAAAUUGGGAAUUCGGGCUAGGUCUCUAUAUCUUUUACCGCCUUUCAUGAGAUUCUUGAGGAAAUGCUAAGCAUCAAUUAUUGUAUGCUAGUUUCUAAUACAUAUCAUGUAUGAUAAUAAUUAAUAUUAAUAAAAAGUAAUAAGCAAUACUUUUGUUUAAAUAUUCUGUCUAUUGAAAUCAUUUAUAAGUCAAUAUAAUAUCCACACUGUUAUUUGUAUCAAUGUGGACAAAUUUAUCUUCUUUAUAGUAUUUGUGGGUGGUGUUUUAUAUGAGAAAUUAAAAGUUUGUAGUGUAAAGAGUUUCUUUGAAGUUUAAUUUUAGUUCACUGUAAUUAAAUAUUUUAAUUGUUAAUUCAAAUUUGAUAUUUAAAAUUUAUAAAUUUAAAUUUUUUAAAAUUUAAUUUUGAUCUACUGUAAUUGAAAUUUUUUAAUUGUUAUUACAAAUUUGAUAUCCAAAAUUAAAUUCAAUUCAUGAUUUAAACUCAAAUUUUUAAUUUUAAUAAAAUCUAUAGAUAGGAAUAACAGAUUGAUCACAACAGAUAAUUUUUAUUUGAAAUAUAUUUUAACAAAUUAAUCAUAACCAUUCAUAGGAUUUGACAUAUUGAUGAAUAAGAAUGCUAUUUUUAACAGACUGAUCACAACCAUUCAUUUUUAUUUGACAUAUUUUUCAACAAACUGAUUACGUAAGGAAUAUUCGUUUAUUCCUUUUUGGAUUCCGUCUGUUGGAAUUUCUAUACGUUUUUAUAUAUAGAACUAGUUGAGUGUACGUGCAAAUACAUGUAACAGUUAUUUUAAUUUAUUUUAAAUCAAUAUAAAUUUGCACAUUAUAUUUAUUUAAAAAUUUAUAAUUUAUAAAUUCAUAUGUUAUAUUUUAUUAGAAAAUAUUUGUAAUAUUUUAUAUUUUUCUUUCUUUAUAUACAUUAAAUAUUUUUAUAUAUUUUUUAUUUUCUGAUGAUCUAAAAUUUAAACAUAUGUUGUAAACAAAAAGCAUCAAAAUUUAAUUCAUAUUUAUUUCAAAAUUUAAAAUUUAAUUUUGAUUCAUUAUAAUUAAAUUUUUUGGAUAAAAAUGCUAUUUUUUAAUAGAUUAAUCAUAACCGUUCGUUUUUAUUUGAGAUUUUUUUAAUUAAGUGAACUGCUCAAUUUUAACUGACACAACCGUUCGUAAGAUUGAAUUUAUAGAUUGAUAAGAAUGCUAUUUUUAACAAAUUAAUUAUAACCGUCUGUUUUUAUUUAAUAUUUUUUAAUUAAGUGAUCAUACCAUUCAUAGAAAAUAUACGGAAUAUUUUUUUAUUCUUUUUUGGAUUCCUUUACAGAUGAAUAAGAAUGCUAUUUUUUAAUAAAUUAAUCAUAACCGUUCGUUCUUAUUUAAAAUUUUUUGUAGGAAAUAUAGAAAAAUAUUCUUUUAUUUUUUUUGGAUUCCGUCUAUCAUGGUAGGAAUUCUUAUACAUUUUUAUAUACGCUUUUAUAGAUGGUAUAUAGAUUUUGGAUUCCGUUUGUCGGAAUUCUUAUACGAUUUUACAUAUAGUAUAGAUAUGGAUAGAUAUCUAUAUCCAUAUCUAUAUCUAUAUCUAUAUCUAUUUAUAUCUAUAUCUAUACUAUAUAUAAAAACGUAUAGAAAUUCCGACAAUAACAGACGGAAUUGCAAAAGAAAUAAAGUAAUAUUUCCUAUGGAUGGUUAUGAUUAAUUUGUUAAAAAUAUCUCAAAUAAAAACGAACGGUUAUGAUAAAUCUAUUAAAACUCUACUAUAUAUAUAAAUUAUUCCCAACAAAUAAAAACGAACGGUUAUGAUAAAUCUAUUAAAAGUUCAAAUUCUUUCCUCUGUAGUCUCAAUUGAGAGGAGGAAUAAUUGAACUAUCAUCAAAGAGCACGCUUCACUAGAGAACAAAAAAUUAGCCAAAAUACUAAUAUCAAAACAGAGAAAUUAAAGAAUACUAUGAUAAUAGAAUCUGAAAAAUGCGAAUGGAAAACUGUUCACCAAACAAGAGCUUAAAACAAAAAAAAGCUCAAAACCAGUCAGUAGGCCUAACAAACCUAAUCAAACAUUAUAAGAAAAAAGAUAUCUUUUUUACUUCAGAAACCACAAGAUCUAUAGCCAACCAACUCCACAAAAACCAAUGUUUAAAUCAAACAAAAAGCACCACCAGAUCCAAAAGACCCUCUUGGAUCUCUCCACCUUCAGAGAUGGUGCUCUGGAUCUGGGCACACUUGACGACACAUUUCAUCGAUAAAAGUCCACUAAAUUGUACAACAAAUUCUUGGCAACAAUAUUACUUAAUAAUAAUGAGACAGAAUUACCUUGGUAUCUAUACUAACUGGAUGUUGCACAAUAUAAAACUUCUUAUUUUCUUAACUGCAUUGAAAUGCUUUUUGUGAAUUAUAAACCAAAAAGUUAAACUUUUCAAAUACUAGAAAAGUCAACUGAAUCAAAUGUAACCCACCCAGUAGAAAUCAACAAAUACAUUCUUAAACAAUUCAGAACCACACAAGAAUGGUAGCAAGUGAGACCCUGCAUAGAUUGGCCCUAAAUUUCAAAUCAUUACUAAGAGGAACAUAUCAGAGUUAAGCCAGUAACAUGAGCUUGUAUCCACAUGCUUUAUUUUCUUAGCAAAGAUAACCCCAAUGCCAACUAAGAUCAACCAAUGCAGCUAAAACAGAAAGUGCAAAAGAAUUUUAACAGCACCUCUGCUCAAAUCCAAAACAAGCUGCUCUCUUGGGCCCCAAUCUGACUUCUUUACUAAAGACUAAACUGUCAAAAACAGAUGAAACAUACAUCUCCAAAAAAGAAACUAAAGAAAACUAUAGCGAUAAUAGAAACUAUUUAGGAAUUACUUACUAAAGAAAUUUUAUAGAUCGAUGAGUAAGAGUUACGCAAGCACUGGCAGUUUACAAAAUUAAAUAAUAUCUAUUUCUCGCAACUAUAAAGGAUAGCAAAUUGGUUGAACAACUAAAAUCAGCACAUCACUGUAUUUCAACUGUCUUCAAGACAACUACCAAUCAGAAAUCCAUAUAAGCGGUAUAAGUAUAUAAAAGUGGCAACAUAUUUACCCAAGCCUUUUUACACUAUAAAUAAUAAGAAAUCUACCUUUUACGAACUAGCAGUGGACUUAAGCCUGCAGAAGUCAACAAUGAUACUAUCAUCUAUCCCAAGAAAUGUUAUAGCUUGGAACAUUUUGGGUUCGGCUUCACCAUCUGCUGCUCGAAAAGUAAGACGAUACUCCAAUCCCGAUGCAAUAAUGCAAGUUAUCUUCUCUAACUUCAAAAACUCAUAGCUCGUAUUCUGCAUUAAAAAAGAAAUUCCGAAAGAAAUUAUAACAAAAAAGAGAAAAAAGAUAAAAAGAAAGAAUAAAAAGGAAAAUAGAUAAGGCACUAUAAAUAUACAUUCUCACUGUUAAAACGUUCAAUAGCUGCUUUUGCACAUUUGAUGAUGGGCUCGGAAUCAUAACCGUCUACCCCUCUAAGACCAAGCUCCAAAUCGCUCGUAAACGGAUCAACGUCAAAUCCCUAUAAAACAUACUUACAAUUAGUAUGGAAAAAGAUUUCAAACCUUAAUUCUCAAAAGGAUGUUGAUAAAUAUUAAAUUACCUCGCUUUCCUCAAUUUGUUUAUAAUAUCUAGCCCAUUCUUCGCGGGUCCUUCUGCGCUCACCAUUUGGCCAGACGUAAUCGUCAUCCUCUCCCGACGAAUACUCAUAAUCCACAAUAUUCUUUUUCUUCUUAUUCUUUUCCUCUAAUUCUUCAUAUUUUCCACACCGAUUCUUUUCCCCUACUUCACAUUUUCCACGCCUACAGGUCUCCUCCUCCUCUUUCUUCUCCUCAUGCAGUUUCAUCAUUUUUUGCGGUGAUUCUUCAAGUAUCACCUGCUCAGCAUUUUUCCUACAUAAAGGAAUUAAACAUAUUAAUAUAUAUUAAUCUUUUUGUAUUUUACACAUUUUACUAAAGACUGUUUGUGCAAAAAGUAAAAGUAGAAGCACAAGCGAGACUAAAGAGUUCCUUAUGCUUGAUACUUGAUAAACGUGUGGUAACGGUGCUACAUAAAGACCUUCUACAGGAAUUAACCAGCACAUCUAACACAACUAGGCUGCAGUUUUUCUAAGCUCCAUUGAAAACAUAUAAUAAAUCCAGAUUGUUGUUGUUGUUGUGUGUGUGUGUGUCAUUUGACAUAACAUGACACAACUAGGCUGGAUAUGUUAUGCAGGUUUUUGUAUUGUGUAUAUGUGCUGUAAAGUAUAAUCUACUUUGUAUAACUGAAACAACACUUUUAUUGUAAAAUGACUAAACAAAUAACAUGUGACCUGUUCACGCUGUUCCUAUCUGCCUUUAUUUACUAACAACUAUCCAGGGCAUUAUGAUGAAAUUUAUGAUUAAAAUCUGAAUUCUCCAAUUCUUCACAAUCUCUUUUUUGCACAAUUUUGAUUGGCUUCACAAAAAUUGGCAGAGACAUUAGUGCACUCUAUCCUCGAGCCGUGUGAAGAUGCUGAUUUCACAUUUCCAGUGAAUUUUAACCUCGGAGAGCAUACUAUGUAGACUUGUUGUCAUCCUUACCUCGAGGAUUUCUUAGAGUGGGUCACUAACCUAUUCGAGACAAUUAUUUUCACAGCUAGUCAGAGCAUCAAUGAAGAGCAGCUUCUUAACAUUCUUGAUCCGGAAAGAAAAUUAUUCUGCCACCAUGUCCUACAUCUCUUGGAGGGCAACUACUUCAAGGACCUAUCAAUUCUUGGUUGUGACUGACUCGUGUUACAGCGUUGUUGAUAAUUCCUCUCAGGUUUUCAUUUUUUUUACAUCGCCUAGCCUAAUUUUGCAAGACUCUUUUUUUGCAGCCCUGUUUUUCAUUCAUUCUUUUUUAAAUUUUUGGGUUGGCUUUUACUUCACUUGCUUCUACAAUAAUGCUGCUCUAAGUUUUUCUUUUUCUAUUCUUCUUUAGGGGUGUUUGAGGCCGUUUUACCUCGCUUCAGUUAAUUUAGAGGGAAGAGCAGAAUAAUUUGCUAUAUGUUGCCAAUUCCAGAUUAAAAACUGUAACCAAACACAGUAGCUGCUCAAAGUUUAGCGUAAUUUCAGAUAUGAUUUCUAUGCUGACUUACAUAGAGGUGUGGAAUUACCACACCAAGUAAUCUUGUGGACUAGUAGCUAUACAAGAGUAAGGCUAAUCGAUGCAUAAAUAUUCACUACUUGAUGCAUUAAACACAGUUGUAACAUUCUACUUAUCUCUUAAUGCAAAAUGUAGUAAUUAAGAUUUUCUUUACUUGAUUUCAAUUAACGUUCUGCUUAGCUCUUAAUGCACUAAACUUGCUCGUAAUCUUACUGUUGAAACAAUAGUUGAUCCACUUGCUUACUAUUGCAUUUUUGUUUUGUAGGUCCUUCUAGGUUGAGGAAAUACUCGAGUGCCCAGAUUGAAAUUUUAGGCUUUUGGAAGUUAACUGGGAUUUUUUUUUUUUUUGGGGUUAAACUAUAGGAAUUUAGUGCCAUCUAGAACAGAUUUAUUAAACUAAUAUUUUGUAAUAGAAUUUUUGAUUAUUAAGGUUGUAUAUGAAAGCGAAGCAGUAUUUGUCAUAAAAAUUUUAUAAACAAGCUUUGAUGAUAAACGCAUUUUCUAUAUUAAAUUUUAUUAUUCAUUAGCUAUGGAUGAGGCAUUUUGACUAUUGUCAAAAUAGUAGCAAUAAUUAAUACUUUAUUAUCCUUUGAUUUAUAUGUUUUGACAAUUGUAAAUUUGUAAUUAUCUACAAUAUAUCUGCCUUACCAAACACUAGUAGAUGCAGCUAGACCCAGAUAUAGUGGCAUUGUAACAAAUGGCGAUUAUAAUCGAUAGCAACGCAGAGAAUAAUCGCCGCUAAAGAUUAAUUUGCUCGCAGCGAAAAAUAUAUAUAGUCCUACUCUAAAAGUCUAAAUUAGAUUCUGAGAUUUUACAUGAUUUUACUUUAAAUACAUAUUUAUUAUUUCAUUAAGAAACAGAUUCAAAAAACAAAUUAAUCUCUAAAACACAAUAUUAACAGUACCAGUAAUAACAUUAAAAAAAAAAAAAAAUCAACAGGUUUGGUUUCCGGUUGUGCUCUGUUUAACAUCGAUCCUAAUCAUACAUAUUGCAACUGAAACAAAUUUGUAUACGUAUAGAAUAUAGCAAAUAUAAACGUGUAUACCUUCUCCAGCUGAAGACGGUCCUCAGGACCAUAGUUAGUUAAUUCGGAUUCGGCAAAAAUUCGGUAUGGGUAUAAUUCGGAUAAAAUUCGUCUUCUAAUUUUUAAAUUCGUUGAAAAAAAACGGCUAGAAAACGGAUUCGCCAAUUAUUCGGAUACGUGAUUUAUACGGAUAUUAUUCGUUCACCAAUUAAAAAUUCGGGAUCAAAAAUUCGGCUAUUAAAUUAAAUUUUUUUCCUCUCAAGAUUUAUGCUAUUAGCAUAAAUACUCAUAUUUUUUAAGAAUAUAAGAAUAAAAAGCUACAAAAUUAAACUAAUUAAGUAAAAAAAUAGUAAACUAUAUUAUGCCUCAAAAUAAAGAAAUAAUUAAGCAAAUAAGAGAUCAAGAUAGUCCAUAUUUAAAUGUAAAAGCUUCCAACUUUUGCUUUGAAGAAUGAAAACUCAAAUAGUACCUGGUCCCAAAGUUAUGUUUCAAAAAUUAAGUAGAAACCCCAGUGAGUCAAUGGUCCAUGAAAGACCACAACAAAAUUUUCCUUUUGCAAGAGUCGACAAAGAUCAUGAAAUUGAUUAGGUAUAAUACAAGAGUUCCUGGUCCCAAAGUUAAUUAAGAUUAUUUAUUUAGCACUAUGUUUGGGUCUUCUUUGUGCAUAACAGAGAAUGGACACAUUCAAUUAAGCACUCAGCCACUUGUGUAUAAAACAAGUAUCCAUCAGAUGACUAAAACCUUCCAACUUUUUCUUUGAAGAAUGAAAAAAACUCAAAUCGUACCUACCUGGGUUUGUAAAGAACCACCCGGUUACUGAUCUAUCGUCGGAUAGCGGAAGCGGAAGCGGAAGAGGAAGAGGCGACGAGGAGGGUUUCGAUUUCUGAAGAGUGAAGAACCCGAUCUUCGAUCUUCGAUUUCUGAAGAGGAGGGCUUCCGAUGGCGUUCGGCGAGCGGCCGGAAGGGAAGAGGGAGACCGCCGCAGGGGUCGAUGGCAGGGCCGCACCGCCGCAGGAGUGAGAAGUUAGGGCAAACCCUUUUUUUGGGAGGGGUGGGGGUGGGAGCGUGGGAGUCGUCGCCUCGUGGGAGGGGGGCGAUGGUUUUCAGAAAUCCUUUCUUUUCUUUUUUCUUUUUUUUUUUUUUUUUUUGGGGCGACAGGUUCUUUUUCCUGUUUUGGGCCACCGCGAGGCCCACAAGUCCGCUCACAGUCGCAAGCAAGAGGGCCGUUUUUCUGGGCCGAAUUAUUCGCGAAUUCCGUUUUAUUCGCGAAUAAUUAUUUUUGCUCAAAAAAACCGCGAAUUAUUUCGAAUUUUUGGCAAAAAUUCGAAAACGGGUGUUUAAUUCGGCAUUUCAAAAAUUCGCAAAUAAUUCGCGAAUAAUUCGCGAAUUAACUAUGCUCAGGACGUCCAUGACGACAGAAGGACGGCGGACGGCGAACGGCGGACAGCAGACGGCGGGCCGCCGACAGCGGAUGGCGGAGCGCAGCCGGCGGCAGAUGGCGGAGCGCGGCCGGCGGACCGGGGCCGGCGGAUGGCUGCCGGCGGCGCAGAGGGAGAAGGGAGUAGUCUUGGCGCCUCGCCGGCGAUGAGAGAGAGAGAGAGAGGCGAGGAAGAGGUGGUUUUUGCGAAGCGAUCGAUGAAGGUCGGUGCAAGCUUGGUUUCGUCUCGUCUCGUCUCCGUUGCGUGGGUCGUACGUGCGCCGCGGUCGAAUUAUAUUUAAAUAUUAUAGUAAAUUUAAAUCCAUAUUAGAGAAAAAUGGAUUCAGAUACGUGUGGGAAAUCAAACAAAUACGAAUAUGAAUCAGGUUUUUACGAAUAUAUAUUUAAUACUUCUAAAUUUAUUUAGAAAAGAAAAAAAAUUAAAAUAAUGUUAAAUAUGUGGAUAUGUAUAAUAGCAAAGCAGUUUUCGAUUCGCAUUAGGAUAAUCCGAAUUCAAAUUUGAAGAAAAAUAGUAAAACUGAAUUUGCCCCCCGAAAAAAAAAAUUUCUAACUCAAAAUCUAAAUAUGAAUACAAAUAGGAUAGUAAAAUCCUAAUACAUAUCGGAUAAACAAAUAAAAAAUACUUCAAAUACUACUCCUGUGAUUUUAUAUUUUCUUACUUUAGUACCAUAUAGUUUAAAGCGUAUCACUUUUAUACUCUACAAUUUUAUUUUUCUCUUUUUAUUAUUCCUUCCGUUAAUUUUUUUUUUGUUAAACCAGUGGCAAAGUUAAAACUAAAGAGUACUAAAAUAAAUAUUCGGUAAACUAUAGACGGAUUAUCUGAAAUUUUUUGUAUAUGAUUUAACGAAAAGUUAACGGAAUCACUGGCGAAAAGAAAAAAAUAAAUUAUAAGAUAUUAAAUUGAUAAACCUUAUAGGAUACUAAAGUGAAAAAAAUAUGAAAUUACAUGAUGGUAUUUGUAGUUUACCUAAAAAAAACGCAAUAUAUAUAUAUAUAUAUAUAUUGUAAAAAGGUGAAAGGUGGGUUUCCAAAUUAGGAGAUACACCUCAACGGCGCUGUGAUUCCACCGUACUCUGUGGUUUUGGCUCUUGCGCACGAACGAGACCGCAAGUUAUCGAUUCCCUUUUUUUUUGCAAACCGUCUCUCUCUGUGAUCGCCGGCAAGACACCCCGCGAUCUUCUCUUCCUUCUCCCUCCCCGCCGCCGGCAGUCAGCCGCCGUCUGCCGUCCGCCGUCCUUCUCUCGUCACUGACGUCUUGAGGGUAAAUAUUCAGUUGGCGAAGGUAUAUACAUACAUAUACAUGAGUUAUAUUGUAUACAAAUAUGCAAUGUUCUACCGAUUGUUCGGGGUGCAAGUGGCAAAGAGUUUGAUGGUUGGUAUCCGGCGUCCUAAAAAUUUGAAUCCUAAUUAGUUCACAUUUUCAGCUAAAUUUAUUUUUUAAAUAAAUUAAACGAAAUAGAUAGCAUGCUAUCUUUCUCUCAAAAAAAAAAAAAAAAAAAAUCUAGAAGUAUAUAAAUUUCAGUGGCAAUAACUAAUAACUAAUUAGGAUGCUAAAUAGAAUCGAUAAUCAAACCUGUUGAAUUAUUUGAGUUUGAAUUGAUUAGGAUUUCGUAAUUUACUUUUAAUUUGUUUUAGAGAUUUGCUUUAGAAUUCAGUCUAGGAUUAUGUUUUGAAAACUAUAAAUAAAUUAUAUCGCUUGUAACUUAGGGGAGAGAAUUCUUGAGGAUUAAAAAUUGGUUUAUGAAUUUCAGUCACCGGUCAUGUUCUUUCUUUUUUUUUUUCUUUCGCCGUGUAUGCGGGGGAAAUUCUUCUUCAAGUUCUAUUCUUUCUUUUCUUUCUCACCUUUCCUUUAUAUUCUUUAUUUUCCUCUUAUUCUUCUUCUCUAAUUUUUAGAAAAUCUUUACAAAAUUUUCUAUAUUUUCAUUAAAUUUGCUUUGAUUUUUAGUUAUUUCUCUAAUUCUUUGAAUAAUAAAAAGUAUUUAGAAUACUCUGAAAGGGAAAGUAUAUAAAAUUCUGCUGUGGUGCUAUAUUAUUUUACUUUAUCAUUGCCAAAAAUGACGAUUAGGAUGGUAAUUAGUAGAAGAAAUUAAUUUUUUCCUGUUAGACAUGAUUAAAGAAAAUGUUAUAUCAUUUCAUCGCUCCAUAGGCAGAUACUUUUAUAUAUUUGUAAUUUAUAAUAAAAAAAGGUAACAUGAAUUUUUCUUUGAAUGAGAAUUCAGUUUUAUGUAUUGUCAUUAGUUUUGAUAGAAAUUAGUUUAAAAUUUCUCAUAUAUUGAAAUGUUUAAUUUUGUUAUGCAGGCAGAACGCAGAAAAGAUUAUGGAGAAGAAGAACGAAGAGGAUGAUGGCGAUACAUCAGGAGAGUAUACAUCUGAAGAUGAUGGUUAUGUUUGGCCAGACGGUACGCGUAGAAGAACCCGCGAAGAAUGGGCUAGGUAUCAUAAACAAGUGGAGGAAAGCGAGGUAUUUAAUACUUAUCGUCAUCUUUUCGAGUAUCAAAGCUUCGAAAUCUUUUUACUAAUUGUAAUAUAUGUGUCUUAUAGGGAUUUGAUGUUGACCUGUUUCCGGGUACAAGCGAGCAUGGCUUUACAGCACUGACGAAUUUUGACGAUGAUGAUAUCAUCGAAUGUACCAAAGCGGCGAUCGAGCACUUUAAUAAGGAAAAUGUAUGAUCAUAUUGUCUUGUUUCUUUUUUUUCUUGUUUUUCCUAUUUUUUCUUUUUUUUUCCCUGAUAGAAUUGUUUUUGCAAUUUUCUUUGUAAUUUAGGAUGCGAGUUUCAGGUUUGUGAAGAUAGAGAAGACUACUUGUCUCGUUGUGGCAGGAUCUUGGUAUUAUAUAACGUUUCAAGCUAUUGAUGGUGAAGCCAACCUGAAAACAUUCCAAGCUAUAACAUUUUAUGGACUAGACCAUAGUAUUAAAGUUGAUCUCUGCAGGCUUAAACCAGGUGCAACUUAGUGAAAGGUAUAUUUCUAGUUAUUUGUUUGUGUACUUUUGUGUUAAUUGUGUGUAUGUAAUACUAUUUGGCUUGCUUCUGAAGUAUGGUGUCAUCAGUGGUCGAUUAUAGUUUAGGUAUAAUUCAAAUCAGGUAUAACAGUCCGAUUAUAGUUUAGGUAUAAAGUUCUUUCUGUGCGGUUACAAAGUUCCAUUUAUUUAUUCAUUGUAACUUAAAAUGAUGAGCUUCAACUUAUUUCAUUUCUGUUACAUCAUUGUUGUUCCUUAAUUCACAUAACUGCUGCCUAAAAAUAAUCUUUCCCUCCUGUUUUUCUAUGUCCACAGGGAUGCUUAAUCCGUCAAUUUUUGCUUCUCUCAGGAUGUACCUCAUGCAACACCAGGAGUUAGAUACCAAAGUAACUAUAUAUCAUAAUAAUUAAGUAUUAUUGUUGGCGAGAAUUUACUUUAUGCAGUUAGUGGACUUUUAUGUGUUGUAGUUUGCAUUGUUUAUUCCUGUCGCUGCACUUGCAAGUUCUUGAUUUGAGAUUUGGGGCAAACCUCUGUUAUAGGUUGCUUAUGAUGGCUUUAUUGUACAGAAUGUUUUUAAGGUUAAAAUCUCAAUUUGACUUUUUCAUUACAGAAUUCCAGUAAUCUGUAUAAGAACGAGUAUUGGAGUUCCAGUAAUUGGUGUAAGAUCAGCUUGCUGAUUCUCAGUAGACUAGUGCUCAAGUUUCACUUUGGUCAUCCUCAACUUAAGUUUAACAUUAAAAAACUUAAAAAUCUCUAAUUGCCCUUGUUUUUCUAGCCCUUUUUUCUUAUUUAUUUAUCCAUACAUUCGGUGCAAUUCUACUAUCAUUAAUUCACCAUUAUCUAUUCGUACUUUUCGUCCAUUCUUAUAUAUAAAUUUAAAAUUUAAAACUGUGGAUCCAAAAUAUUACUUAACUGUAAAUUUUAAUUAUAAGUUAUAUUUUUAUUUUUGAGUCUAUUUUGGCUAUUAGUGCAACUUGAAUUAUGCAUUUGAAUUGUAAUUCAAUUUGUAUGUUUUGAAUUCAAUUAUGAAUCAAUUUUUGAAUUAAAAUGUAAACUUACCUUUUAAGUUUGAUUAUGAAUUAAACUUAGAUUUAUGGAUUCGAAUUUUUAUCUGUAUACAUAAGCCAUUUUUUAUUCAAGUUCAGUAUUAAAUUCAAAAUUUAGUUUGAUUUUGGAUUGGUUUAAUUACACUAAUGAUUCCAUCCUUUUACCUGAUUUUUUUUUUUUUUUUGGUCCAACAACCUUUAAAUUUCUGCUAUGAGGUUCCUAACCUUUAUUAUUUGUUUCGAUUAAAUUUUACAACUAAAAUCUCCAUUAAAUCUAGCAAAAAUUGCCACUCCACCACAUGUUAGCAUCAAAUAUUCUCACAUAACAAUUUAAAGAUAAUGAAGAAAUUAAUUAAAACAAAUAAUAAAGUUAGGAGAUAAUUGAAAAAUUAAAGACUAGACUAAGCAAAUUAUUAUUAUUGAACGUAUCGUAAGAUUUUAAAAUAUAAAAUAAGAUUUGGGCCUCGAAAUAAAAAUAAGAUUUUAUAUUUGACAUAAAAAAUAACAAAAUAUAUAAAAUUAAUAAAAAUAUAGUUGAAAAUAACAUAAUAAAAAUUUUUAAAUAUGUCCUUUCUGUUAAAAUUCGUUAGAAAAUUUUAAUUAACCAUAAAUUAAAUAUUUUACCCUAAUUAGUUUUCGAUAUUUUUACUCCUCUUACGUUAUAUUGUUAUGAUUUUUGGAGGGACAUAUUUGUGAUUGAAAAUAUAAACAACUUUCUAAUGAUUUUCUAACAAUAACAAAUCAUAUGGACCUAUUUGAAAACAUUAAAACUUUUGUAGGGACAACAUAUAAAAGUUAAAUUUUGUAGGAAUAUAUUUAUCAAUUAUCAUUCACUAUAUUUGCAGGAACCUAUAUAAAAUUAACCCAUUUAUUAAUAGUAAUGUAGAGACUAGCGAUUAAAAGAUAGUUUAGUGAUAUUUAUGAGAAAAAAAAAAAGUAUAAGAUAGAAAAAGGAAAAUAAAUUUAAAAUACAGUGUAGAGAUUGAUAAAAUAUAAUAAUUCAUUGAUGUUUUUGAAAAAAAAAAAAUUAGUACAGUAUAAAAAGUGACCUAUAAAAUAUAGUGUUAUUUCUUCUCGGGUUAGCCCAUAACUAAUUAAAAGGUAAUGGAAUAUAUAAGAUAUAAGAUGUUAUUAUAUGUCAUGAGUUUUCAAUGUGAAACUAAACUAACUUAUAAUAAAAUAUGCACCAGCUCUCAAGUAAAGCCCAUUGGAUAUUAGGCCACACAAGGUCCCAAGACGGCGGCCCAAGACCAACAUGGGUUUAGAAUCACUUUGAAUAAAUAAUACUAACAAAAAAUUGAAUUUUAAUAGUUGGACCAAAAAAUCCCUCCAAAUUUUUUUUGCCACCGUUGAGGGGUAUUAUGUUACUUUUUAAAUUUUUACUAAAUAGGACAAAAUAAGAAUAAACAAAUAUGGGGCUUUGCCCGUGCCGUUCGGACUGAAGGGCUGUGUUAGGAAAAAUCCGCGCUAGCCCGGCAUGACUUGGAUUAGGGGCCAGGCCAAUACUCGGCCCGUUUCGCUAGGGUUAAUGUUGGCCCACGCUGGCCUACAUAACAUUCCUAUUAAGUUUUUUAAUUUAAUAUUGUAAAACACAUGUCCAAUUUAUUAGAUUUAAAUGUUGCUGCAUUUAUGGUUGGAUUUUAGUGAUGUAUGCAUCAUAUAGAACUUGCAGGUAAUAGUUUUUAAUAGUCCUUUCAAGAAUCGUGUAUUUAUAUCUACCUCCAAAGUUCUCAAUUAAGUAAUUAUAGCUAAUACAAUAAAAUAGCUUAAUUAAUUAAUUUCAUUUAGAUAGUUUAAUUGCUUCACAAGGUAGCUGAUUGAAUUCAUGGAAAUUUCAUAAAUAUCAGUACUUUAUAUUUUUUUUCUAUAUUAUUGCUUCUAAAUUAGGUGUAGAGUAAGAUUAGCUUAGCCCUUGUUCUAUAUAGGUUCUCUUUUUUUUUAAUACAAUUUUUUUUAUAUGAUUAGAUGUUUUAGAGAAUGAAGUUUUUUAUGUUUGUUAUGAUUGGUUAACUUGUAGAUUGCCUAAAUCAUAUGCGAAACAAGGAGUCAGCACCAUGCAAAUCUUAUAUAUAUAUAUAUAGAGUCCGGCUAUUAUGCUAUCGGUAGCACGGAGUGCUCCGUGCUACCAAGUUGUUUUCGAUGAUGCAGCUUCCAAAUCGACGAUCGGCUCCGUUAGACUUGAUCUACACUAUUGAAAGUAUUUGGAAACUAAAUUUCAGAUUUUUUCGACAUCAUUUGACUAGUGAUCAAAAGAUCUCAAAAUUGACAAUUUUAAUGGCCGAUGUGGUGUGUUUGUGAGUUUAACGGUGUAAAACAAUCUAAAUGCGAUGAAAAUUUUAUAGAAAAUUCUUUUCACUAUUUAGAGUAAGAUCAGUAUAUCUGAUCUUGAAUUUAAAUUUUUUAUCAUCAUUUUUNUCCGUGCUACCGAUAGUAUAGUAGCCUAGUUCUAUAUAUAUAUAUAUAUAUAUAUAUAUAUAUAUAUAUAUAACCAUUAUUCUUCAUAUUAAAAUCAUGAUAAAUUAUUGUCCCAAUGCUCCAAAUGUAUAGAAUAAAAAUAGCUUAAGACUUUUUAUUAUAUUAUUUUUCUUUCUUUAUUUUUUUCAAAUAAUUUUUAAGUGAUUAAAUAUUUUUAUACAUGAAUUUCUCUAUUCUUGUCCUAAUUGGUUAGCUUAUAAUGUGUUUGAAACAUGUGUAAGAUGACAAAUAAGUUUCUUACUAAAAUAAUAAAAAAGCAAAAUAAAGUUUUAUCCAACUUGUUAUUUCUUACUAACAAACAAGUUGGUUAAAUUCAAGGACAACAAGUAAAUUUAUCAUUCACUCAUUAUUCUUUCAAAUUCAAUUUUUAUAUUAAGAAAAAUAAAAAAUAAUAAUAAAGUCAAAAGUGAUGUUAACCCAAUACAAAUAACAUGAAUAUUAGUACUACUCUAUUUUUCAUCAUAUAAAUAUUUUCUUAAUUAUUACAGCUACUAUAAUCAUAACACUUUUAAGUGAUUAAAUAUUUUUGUACAUGUAGUUUUCUAUUCUUGUCAUGAUUGGUUAGCUUAUAAUGUAUUUAAAACAUGUGUAAGAUGACAAACAAGUUUCUUACUAAAAAAAUAAAAAAGUAAAAUAAAGAUUUAUCCAAAUUGUUAUUUCUUACUAACAAACAAGUUGGGUAAAUUCAAGGACAACAGGUAAAUUUAUCAUUCGCUCAUUAUUCUUUCAAAUUGAAUUUUUUAUAUUAAGAAAAAUAAAAAUAAAAAAAAACAAUAAAGUCAAAAGUGUUAGCCCAAUGCAAAUAACAUGAAUAUACUACUCCCUUUGUCAUUAUAUAAAUAUUCUCCUAUUACAUAUGCUAUAAUCACAACACUUUUAUUUAAGUCCUCUGAGUUGAGAGUAUUUUCUUAAUAGAAAAAUUAUCCUCGUUUAGCGUAUUUUUAUACCAUCUCGUUGCCCCACAUGGUAAUAACAAAUAAUUUUGAUUUCACCAACUAUGUAACUUGUAAUUUUACUAAUUUAUUUUUUAAAAAUAUUUAAUUUUAUGACAGUAUCUUUCAAUUAAAAGUUUUAAUUUUAAUUAGUUUUGAUCCAUUAUCUUUUAAAUAACACUAUUUAUUAUAAAUGAUUCUUAUUAUUUUUUAUAGUUAUUAAAUACACAAUAUGAUGUUAUACUUAUUUUUCCUUACAUGCAUGUUUGUUAUAAAUACAACAGAAUUUAUGAGAGAGUGGGAUAAUUCGAUCAGAGGUUGGAGAUCAGCAGAUAUGUAGUAAGUAUAUUUUAUAAAAUAUUUAUUAAAAGUUAAUUAAUACAAUAAAUAUUAUUUUAUUGACUAAUUUUUACACAAUAAAUAUUAUUUUACAACACAUAUACACAAUAUAAAAGCUUGCAUAACAUAUCCAGCCUAGUUAUGUCAUGUUAUGUCAAAUGACACACACACACAACAACAACAACAACAAUAUGGAUUUAUUAUAUGUUUUCAAUGGAGCUUAGAAAAACUGCAGCCUAGUUAUGUUAGAUGUGCUGGUUAAUUCCUGUAGAAGGUCUUUAUGUAGCACCUUUACCACAAGUUUAUCAAGUAUCAAGCAUAAGGAACUCUUUAGUCUUGCUUGUGUUUCUACUUCUACUUUUUGCACAAACAAUCUUUAGUAAAAUGUGUAGAAUACAAAAAGAUUAAUAUAUAUUAAUAUGUUUAAUUCCUUUAUGUAGGAAAAAUGCUGAGCAGGUGAUACUUGAAGAAUCACCGCAAAAAAUGAUGAAACUGCAUGAGGAGAAGAAAGAGGAGGAGGAGACCUGCAGGUGUGGAAAAUGUGAAGUAGGGGAAAAGAAUCGGUGUGGAAAAUGUGAAGAAUUAGAGGAAAAGAAUAAGAAGAAAAAGAAUAUUGUGGAUUAUGAGUAUUCGUCGGGAGAGGAUGACGAUUACGUCUGGCCAAAUGGUGAGCGCAGAAGGACCCGCGAAGAAUGGGCUAGAUAUUAUAAACAAAUUGAGGAAAGCGAGGUAAUUUAAUAUUUAUCAACAUCCUUUUGAGAAUUAAGGUUUGAAAUCUUUUUCCAUACUAAUUGUAAGUAUGUUUUAUAGGGAUUUGACGUUGAUCCGUUUACGGGCGAUUUGGAGCUUGGUCUUAGAGGGGCAGAGGAUUAUGAUUCCGAGCCUAUCAUCAAAUGUGCAAAAGCAGCUAUUGAACGUUUUAACAGUGAGAAUGUAUAUUUAUAGUGCCUUAUCUAUUUUCCUUUUUAUUCUUUCUUUUUUAUCUUUUUUGUCUUUUUUGUUAUAAUUUCUUUCGUAAUUUCUUUUUUAAUGCAGAAUACGAGCUAUGAGUUUUUGAAGUUAGAGAAGAUAACUUGCAUUAUUGCAUCGGGAUUGGAGUAUCGUCUUACUUUUCGAGCAGCAGAUGGUGAAACCGAACCCAAAAUGUUCCAAGCUAUAACAUUUCUUGGGAUAGAUGAUAGUAUCAUUGUUGACUUCUGCAGGCUUAAGUCCACUGCUAGUUUGUAAAAGAUAGAUUUCUUAUUAUUUAUAGUGUAAAAAGGCUUGGGUAAAUAUGCUGCCACUUUUAUAUACUUACUUAUACUGUUUAUACGGAUUUCUGAUUGGUAGUUGUCUUGAAGACAAUUGAAAUACAGUGAUGUGCUUAUUUUAGUUGUUCAACCAAUUUUCUAUCCUUUAUAGUUGCGAAAAAUAGAUAUUAUUUAAUUUUAUAAACUGCCAGUGCUUGCGUAACUCUUACUCAUCAAUCUAUAAAAUUUAUUUGUGUGAAAGAUGAUAUAUAUAUUUGUGUGAAAGAUGAGAUAUUAUUUUUAAAAAAAUAAUAAAGUCAAAAGAGAUGUUAAUCCAAUGCAAAUCACAUGAAUAUUAGUAGUAUUCUAAUUUUCAUCAUAUAAAUAUUUUCUUAUUAGAGCUACUAUAAUCACAAUACUUUUAUUUUAAGCCCUUUGAGUUAAUAGACAAAUUAUCCUCGCUUAGCAUAUUUUUAUAUCAUGUUAUCACUGCAUAUGUUAAUAACAAAUAAUUUUGAUUUCAAUUACUAUGUAAUUUGUAAUUUUACUAACUUAUUUUUUAAAAUAUUUAAUUUUAGGACAGUAUCUUUCAAUUAAAAAUUUUAAUUUUAAUUAGUUUUGAUCUAUUAUCCUUUAAAUAAUAUUAUUUAUUAUAAAUGAUUCUUAUUAUUUUUUAUAGUUAUUAAAUAUAUAAUAUAAUGUUAUACUUAUUUUACGUUACAUGUUUGUUAUAAAUAACAUAGGAUUUACGAGAGAAUGGAAUAAUUCGACCAGAGGUUGGAAAUCAGUAGAUAUGUAAUAAGUAUAUUUUAUAAAAUAUUUAUUAAAAAUUAAUGCAAUAAAUGUAAUUUUUUUUAAAAUUAAUGAAUUAUUUGAAAAUUCUUACUAUGCCUUUUUCAUCCACCAUUCUAACGGAAGCUGAGUACGCAAUUCGAUAUUCAAAUUAAUUGAAUUAUCAAAACAAGAGUUGGUGAAUUGCAAUCACGAACUUUAUCCCAUCUUCUAGUCGGCGAACUGUAGAUAGAAUUGGAUGCAUACUAUGUACGCAUAAUAAAUGCUUAAAAAAUAUUAAAAAAGCACGGCAUUACACUUUCAGCUGACAAUCCAUGCGUUGGAAGAAAAUGCAUUGGAAGAAGGGAAUAUUGUCAAAUGAAUAAAUACCUAAGUUAAAUUAUAUUGUAAAAAUUUAUUUAUCAUUUGUAUGUUGAUUUUCUUUUUCUAAUUUUAAUUUUUUUUGUAGAGAACGAGAGUGAAGAUUGAAAAUUUCCAAGUAAAUUUGAAAACAAUACACAGUGAGCAGCAAAUUGAGGAGCAAAUUGAGGAGAUGCAUGUCUAAAUGUGUUUAGGAGCUUUGCAUAUCUACGUAGAGAGGUUAAUAUUUAUUCAUAUUAUUUAAGUUUUAAUAUUUUAUAAUUGAUAAGAACCUUUUUUUUCUAUACUAGGCUUUGUACACGGGACUUCAAAUUGGAGAAUCAAACAGAGGAAGAUACUCAGUAUCCAUAAUUGGAUAUGGAGAUAAUUGGAUAUGGAGUUGAGAAUGACAUAAAAUACUAUCUCAUAAAGAAUUCAUAGGAUAAUAACUAGGGAACCGACGGCUAUGCAAAAGUAAAGCGUGAUCUUCUAAGUCACAUGUCCAUACCUAUAGGUGCAAACAUAGUUGCACUAAUUUAUUGUCUUUCAUAUAAAUUAUAUGUAUUUUUUUUACAAUAUUGUUUGUAUUGUGUAAAACUUGUUAUACAUAAUAUAUAUUUGUUUGAAAGAUGAUGUAUAUAUUUGUGUGAAAGAUUAGAUAUUAUUUUUAAAAAAAUAAUAAAGUCAAAAGAGAUGUUAGUCCAAUGCAAAUCACAUGAAUAUUAGUAGUAUUCUAAUUUUCAUCAUAUAAAUAUUCUCUUAUUAGAGCUGCUAUAAUCACAACACUUUUAUUUUAAGUCUUUUGAGUUAAUAGACAAAUUAUCCUCGCUUAGCGUAUUUUUAUAUUAUUUUAUCGUUGCAUAUGUUAAUAACAAAUAAUUUUGAUUUCACUUGUUAUGUAAUUUGUAAUUUUACUAACUUAUUUUUUAAAAUAUUAAAUUUUAAAAAGUAUCUUUCAUUUAAAAGUUUUAAUUUUAAUUAGUGUUGAUCUAUUAUCUUUUAAAUAAUACUCUUCGUUAUAAAUGAUUCUUAUUAUUUUUUAUAGUUAUUAAAUAUACAAUAUAAUGUUGUACUUAUUUUUUGUUACUGUUUGUUAUAAAUACGGAUUUACGCGAGAAUGGGAUAAUUCGACCAAAGGUUGGAAAUCAGCGGUUGGAAAUCAAAUGUAGUAAGUAUAUUUUAUAAAAUAUUUAUUAAAAAUUAAUAAAAUAAAUAUUAUUUUAUUAACUAAAUUUUUUUAAAUUAAUAAAUUAUUUAAGGUUCUUGCUAUGCCUUUUCAUCCACCAUUCUGGCAGAAGCUGAGUAUGCAAUUCGAUAUGACGAAUUAAUUGAAUUAUCAAAACAAGAGUUGGUGAAUUGCUAUCACGAACUUUAUCCCAUCUUCUAAUCGGCGAACUGUAGAUAGAAUUGGAUGCAUACUAUGUACGCAUAAUAAGUGCUUAAAAAAUAUUAGAAAGCACGGCAUUAUACUGAAAGCUGACAAUCCAUGCGUUGGAAAAAAAUGCAUUGGAAGAAGGGAAUAUUGUCAAAUGAAUAAAGACGUGAGUUAAAUUAUAUUGUAAAAAUUUAUCUAUCAUUUGUAUGUUGAUUUUCUUUUUCUAAUUUUUUUUUUUUUUUUUUGUAGAGAACGAGAGUGAAGAUUGAAGAUUUCCAAGUAAAUUUGGAAACAACACAGUGAGCAGCAAAUUGAGGAGAUCCUAUAGAUACGUCCUAUUGCUGCAUGUCUGUGUUUAGGAGCUUGGCAUAUUUACCCAGAGAGGCUAAUAUUUAUAUUAUUUACGUUUCGAUAUUUUAUAAUUGAUAAUAACCCUUUUUUUUCAUAUUAGACUUUGUACACAGGACCUCAAAUUGGAGAAUCGAACAGAGGAAGACACUCAGUUGCUAUAAUUGGAUAUGGAGUUGAGAAUAACAUAAAAUACUAUCUCAUAAAAAAUUCAUGAGAUAGUAAUUGGGGAACCGACGGCUACGCAAAAGUGAAGCAUAAUCUUCUAAGUCGCAUGUCCAUAGCUAUAGGUGCAUACAUAGUUGCACCUAGUUAUUGUCUUUCAUAUAAAUUAUAUGUAUUUCUUUUGAUAUUUUAUAAUUGAUAAUAACCUUUUUUUUUCAAUAUUAGGCUUUGUACACGGGACCUCAAAUUGGAAAGUCGAACUGACAUAAAAUACUAUCUCAUAAAGAACUCAUGAGAUAGUAACUGGGGAACCGACGGCUACGCAAAAGUAAAGCGUAAUCUUCUAAGUCGCAUGUCCAUAGCUAUAGGUGCAUACAUAGUUGCACCUAGUUAUUGUCUUCAAUAUAAAUUAUAUGUAUUUCUUUUAUAAUAUUGUUUGUAUUGUAUAAAACUUAAAUAUAUAUUUGUGUGAAAGAUUAUGUAUAUAUUUGUGUGAAAGAUGAGAUAUUAUUUUAAAAAUAAUAAUAAAGUCAAAAGAGAUGUUAGUCCAAUGUAAAUCACAUGAAUAUUAGUAGUAUUCUAAUUUUCAUCAUAUAAAUAUUCUUUUAUUAGAGCUGCUAUAAUCACAAUAUUUUUAUUUUAAGUCCUUUGAGUUAAUAGACAAAUUAUUCUUGCUUAGCGUAUUUUUAUACUAUCUUAUCACUGUAUAUGUUAAUAACAAAUAAUUUUGAUUUCACCUGCUAUGUAAUUGUAAUUUUACUAACUUAUUUUUUAAAAUAUUUAGUUUUAGGACAGUAUCUUUCAAUUAAAAGUUUCAAUUUUAAUUAGUUUUGAUCCAUUAUCUUUUAAAUAAUACUAUUAUUUUUUAUAGUUAUUAAAUAUACAAAAUAAUGUUAUACUUAUUUUUCGUUACAUGUUUAUUAUAAAUACAAUAGAAUUUACGAGAGAAUGGGAUAAUUCGACCAGAUAUGUAGUAAGUAUAUUUUAUAAAAUAUUUAUUAAAAAUUAAUACAAUAAAUAUUAUUUUAUUAACUAAAUUUUUUUUUAAAUUAAUGAAUUAUUUGAAGGUUCUUGCUAUGUCUUUUCAUCCACUAUUCUAACGGAAACUCAGUACGCAAUUUGAUAUGGCGAAUUAAUUGAAUUAUCGAAACAAGAGUUGGUGAAUUGCUAUCACGAACUUUAUCCCAUCUUCUAGUCGGCGAACUGUAGAUAGAAUUGGAUGCAUACUAUGUACGCAUAAUAAGUGCUUAAAAAAUAUUAGAAAGCACGACAUUGCACUAGAAGUUGCGUUGGAAGAAAAUGCAUUGGCAGAAUUUAUCAUCUGUAUGUUGAUUUUCUUUUCUUUUUUUUUUUUUUGUAGAGAACGAGAGAAGAUUGAAGAUUUCCAAGUAAAUUUGGAAACAACACACAUUGAGUGGCAAAUUGAGGAGAUCCUACAGAUAUGUCCUAUUGCUGCAUGCCUAGAUGUGUUUGCAUGCCUAGAUGUGUUUAGGAGCUUUGCAUAUCUACCCAGAGAGGUUAAUAUUUAUAUUAUUUAAGUUUUGAUAUUUUAUUAUUGACCUUUUUUUUCCAUACUAGGCUUUGUACACGUGACUUCAAAUUGGAGAAUCGAACAGAGAAAGACAAUCAGUUGCCAUAAUUGGAUAUGGAGUUGAGAAUGACAUAAAAUACUAUCUCAUAAAGAAUUCAUGGGAUAGUAACUGGAAAACCGACGGCUUUGUACACGUGACUUCAAAUUGGAGAAUCGAACAGAGAAAAACAAUCAGUUGCCAUAAUUGGAUAUGGAGUUGAGAAUGACAUAAAAUACUAUCUCAUAAAGAAUUCAUGGGAUAGUAACUAGGAAACCGACGGCUACGCAAAAGUAAAGCGUGAUCUUCUAAGUCGCAUGUCUAUAGCUAUAGGUGCAUACAUAGUUGCACCUAAUUAUUAUCUUUCAUAUAAAUUAUAUGUAUUUUUUUUAUAAUAUUGUUUGUAUUGUGUAAAACUUGUUAUACACAAUAUAUAUUUGUGCGAAAGAUGAUGUAUUAUUUUAGGACAUACAUAAUAUUUUAUUCUACAGAUAUUUCUGGCCCAUAAUUAUAAUUAUUUAAAUCUAAGUAUAAAAUUUAAUUUAAAUUCCAUUAAUUAGACCCAAUUAACUUAUGAGUCAUUAUUAGACUCAAAGAAAUACUUAGAUCAAUUUUCCAAAACAAAUAGGCAUUGAUCAACAUUUCAAUAAUAUAAUUGUUUCAAUUUUUCAAGAAUUUCAUUCAAAAAAAAUCUUUACAGUUGGUUGUUCUUAAGCUUUUCUUAAGCCCUUAUGUGUUAGGGAUAUUUUUUUGCCAUGAGCUUCUUAACCUUGAAGUAUUAUCCAAGAGAUUUUGACCUGAUUUAGAGAAAAGUUUGAAAUGAGCUGAAAAGUUGUAACUCCUAUUCUAAAAUAAACCAGCCUCUACUUCUCUAAUUAGUAUUUAUGUGCUUCAGUAAACAAAAGGUGACAAAAAUAAUCUCUAGUAAAUUUAUAGUUUAGCUUUUCAAUUCUAUUGGUAUCCAUCUCAGUAUUUCGGUCGAUAGUAUAUUCCAACAAUUACUAUCUUCACAGUACCAAGACAAAUGAAAGAAGCCAUUUUUUCUUGAAUUUAUGAGUUUGUCGAUGGUCUUGCGAAAAAUAUUUGGAGAACCUUUCUAUUAAUUUCCCAAAUCUCAUAAUAAUCUUACACAUUCUAAAGAAUUGUGACCAUAUUCUCUUUCCUUUUCACCUUCUAAGCUCAUAAUACUUUCUCUAGCUUGUAAUAAUUUUCUCAAAUAAUUAAUUAAUUAAUCAUUAUCAUGUUUAGCAAGCCUAGAAGAAGCAGCAAUUUGUGGAAGGAUCUUUUGCUUGAAGAUGAGGCCAUCUCCAACGAUUGAUCUCUACUAUGAUCCCCACCGUCGACAGGUUGGCCAACCAAUGUAUCAUCUGACCUCUUCAUCCUGCACAGAUUUAUGCUCAAUGAGUGCGUCGAUCGAAACAAAUUGAAGUUCCGCGAUCUAAAUAAGCUUCUACAGGUAGUUGUUAGUUUCAGGGCAAGCAUAUACAUAUAUAUAUACCCAGUAGCUGGAGGACAGAAGACAACGGUGUAGUCAUAGGCCUUGCAGGUGAAAGUGCUGGUUCCGUCGUCGAAAGCAUAGCUGUAGGCUCGCGGGCACGCAGUUUUGAAGAUCGACGAGUAGAAGGACGGCUUGCAAGUACUGGGGUUCGCAAACUCUCCGCUGCAGCAGUACUGGUCGAGACCGAACGCCUCGCACGCGCUCUUGCACGCCACCACCCCGUCCCCGCACUCCACCUGCAGCUCCCUCGGGCAACCUGAGAGGGGUGGGGGAUAUGAAGUUUCGGUUUAGUAAUACUUUCGUAAAGGCGAGUUGCCAGAGCGGCUGCCUCGCACCCUAAAACGUAGAGAGAUUAUUACCACGGUUGAGAUCCGUAAUGCACCCAGUUGCAUUGCACCUGCCGUGUUGUACCCUCGGGACGACGACGACUGGUAGAUUGUACCCGUCGACGAGGCUCACGUCGUAGUAGUCCUCGUCGGUGCCCUUCCCGAGAGUGAUCUCGAACAACGUGGUCGGAGGGAGGGCCCCAGCACCGCCGCACUCCAUUCGUCCUCCGCAAUCUCCCGUCUGGCAAAUGCCUGCCCCGUCGCUGUCGAAUUCACAUCCGGUUCGAGCCCAAAUCCGGCCCGACCAUCCCGGCGGGGCGAGUAUUCGCACGGUCUGGCCCGAGUCGAGCCUGAACCCGGUUGUCGGCAACUGCGGUGUCCCCGCCCCGGCCAAAGUCCCGGGCCAAAUGGUCCGAGGGCAAUUGUUAGAUACAGUGAAAGAAGUAGAACACAUUGAAGGUUGGAACAUAAGAACAAAGAUUGAAACAAAGGAGAAGAGCAUAGAAUAUGAGGUUUCUGUUUCCAUUGAAUGAAUUGGAAUGAUGGUGGUGGUGGUGGUGAGAGGAGGGGGAAAGGGGGAAGCAUUGGGGGGGGGUUGGGGGAAGUUUUAAAGUUGGAGAGAUUGGAAGGUGUUUGAAGAGAUGGAAUGGGAAGAGGGGGAAGUGUUUGAAGGCUUUUUUCCCCUGAGAUUGCUUUGCAUUAAGAGGUCCUCUGGCGCAUGUAGAGGGAUGUGGGUUUAGUAUUUUUCAUUCAUUGGGUGGCCUCACAAUAAAGCAAUACCUUUUGUUAUAUUGAAAGGAAUUAAGAUAGUUAAAAACAUACCUCUCACAGCAAAACUAACAGUAUUUUACAUUACAGCACCCUAAUUAUACCAAUAGCUCUUUACAUGAACCCAGAAUAAAACCAAUAACUGCUUAGAAUCUUAUGCACCAACAUAAGAUGAAAACCAAAACCACUGAACUAGUUCACACCAUGAGAAAAGUUUUUAAAGGGCAAACAGUGCAUUAAAUCUGUAGACUGCAGGAUUUGGGGGAAAAGCAUCAAAUUCUUAUCCUACAAAGGUAUGAUUAAACUAUUCCUAGCUUUCAUAUCUAGUUAGAUUGGAUGAAUUAAAAAGUUUUGCCCUUUAAAAUCCAAUCACAGAGCUCUUUCGAUCGGAUCGAAUAAAAAGCUUAGCCUCUCAUUGGACAAGGGGAAAAGCAUACCACAGAUUUGUCUCGAUUACUUUGCAAAGAAAUGAUAAGAUAAUUGCAAAAUGCAUAACAUAAUAACAAAAGCUAAUAAAAAGGUUAAGUACACAGUUGCAUGGACAGUUAACAAGAAAGGAAUUGUGCAAUGUGAUGCAUUUGUAAGUUACAAUCCCUAGAGAAAAAGUGCAGAUUACAAAAAGUGCACUAGAAAUCAUGCAUCAUGGACUGUAGCAUAUUCCUCAUAUCGACACACAGUAGUGACACUGUAGGAGAAAUUCUUUCACAAAUUUAAACCAAAAAGCGGAAGCUCGCGCUUCAUAGAGAAACUAUUUGCCGGGACCUGGUCUGCCACAUCAGCUGAUCGGUCUGAGGCUGGCGAGACGGAACACAUCUGGGCAAUAAUUUCUCGGCGUAAUGGCCCCUGCUUGUUAUUUUGCUUCGCUUUCUUCUCCAGCGCUCUUGGGUUCAUCGGUGGAUUUAGUGUUAUCAGGGGUCAAGUAUCGACCGGUCAUCGGAUCGAUAGGGCGGGUAUCGCGGGGCCCACCUUUACGAGUCAUUGCAAGCAUAGGUGGGGGCGGAAGAAGCCCGGCCCGGAACAGGAUGCGCUGAACAGGCUCCGACGGCUGUGCGCCUACUGAUAGCCAAUACCUGCACCAAAAGGCAGAUUGAGAGGGUAUCAGUAAGAAUUUAAGAGAUAACAAUCUUCGACUAAACUAUAGAACAGAUAAGAUCCUAAUCUAUUUAUGGCAUUUAUUUUUUGACUGUCAAAGAAAACUCUGCAGCAGAAACUUAUUUUAGUCAAAAGAUAGAAAACAAGAGAUAAUGUUUCUUUUAGAUGAUAUCAUUUUCUCUAAAUUCGACAAUAACUAUCCUAGACCCCCCAAAAAAAAGGAAAAAGUAGGGAAAAAACUGGACUUCUGAAAUCUAACUACAGUUCAUAGAAAAGCAGGACACAACAGAACCAAAUUGCUGUCGAUAUCAUGCUGAUCACUCUCUGAAAAAUAAAAUAUAAUAAAAAGUAAUAUGCUGUAACUUUCUUGUAUAAUGAGAUAGAAAGAGGUAUUAAUAUCAUCCAUCGGACCAAAGAACUGAGGAUUUUUGCAAUGAAAAAAAAAAAUUGGAAGAAAUGAAGUUUGAGGAUUCGGCAAUGAAAAUAAUGGAAGAAACAAAGCUUUUAACUAGGAAUUCAAACAAGUUUUUUUUGCUAAAAUCAAACUAUUUAGCACGUGCCACACAAUAGAAAUGGUAGAUGAUGACCUCCGGAACAAAGUUAAAAUGGUCAGACAAUAAUAAAUGGAGCAUUUUUAUAGCUGGAUAUUCAGUGUACUUUAGUAGGAUUCUUUCACAUGCAUAUAUCCCGCAAAAUUAUCUCUUUACAUAUCUACUGUUGUAAAAUAUCAAUUUUCAUAUGAACACCUUCAAAUUGCAGCUUCUCACAAAGUUAGCCUUAAUUCAGAAAACAGUAUUUCUGUAAAGCUUCUCACAAAGUUAGCCUUAAUUCAGAAAACAGUAUUUCUGUAAGUACGAAAACAUAUGCAAUCCUUGUUGAAGAGAGAGAUGUUGAAGGGCGUGCAUGAAAAUGCAGAUCUCAGAGUGGUGUAUGGAUGAAUAGAAAGUAGAUGAUAUAGUAAUAUCCCAAAGUAAUUUGAGAUUAGUGUAAGCUCAUAAACCGUAAAUAUCUAAACUAACUACGUAAGAUGGGUUGGUCGUGUUCACUAACUUGCAUUUAUACUUAUCAACUUCGAAUUUUUCUAAAUCACAGGAACAUUCUAAGACUGAACUUCGUCCAUCCAUAAGUAUAUAAGGAAAAGAAAUCUUUCAACAACUUACUUGCUAACAAUCUGUCCAGAAAUGGAGUUCGAUAUACACAAGUUAUGCUCAUCUUCUAAUUCGAAGGAAACUGACAGACUGACAUGGUUUCCUAGCUGUACACACAACACAAAACACAGUAAAUCCUCCCUUUCCUACUAUAGCUCUCUCGUUCUAUUCUAUCAAAUCCAAUACCGGGUACCAAAUGGGGCCAUAAAUUAUAAUCCAAUCUGCACCGCAUCAAUAUGCAAGCAUGACAUUUACUAAAUUCAUGCACCUCAAGUUCUUCAAGUGUGUCAUGAAACAUGGAAGAACCAAAAACGGUUUUAACUAUAGUACAAUGCACAAAAGAGUCACUACAAUCACCCCACAUUCUUUCUAUAUGAAUGUAGUGAGCUUUCAUACAAAUAUAUCAUCAGACACAUCAUGGAGACAACAAAGAGGCAUAAACCAAAUUUAUAGGAUCAAAGAGGCAUUGAUCUGUGAAAAGAUUAUGAUAUCACUCAGUACACUCACACAUCUCAAGCCAAAAGAAAUAGAUAUAUCAUCUCGUAUAGUAAUCAGAAGCUAGAGUGGCUGAUGUAAAAUUGGGGGGCAAAAAAAUAUAUAUAUAUAGGAUGCACCUCAAGAGUGAGACAAGAUCACCACCGUCCCCCUUCCGUUAAAAUUCAAUCUGACGAACUGAUUUUGGACAGCAGCGAUUCCUGUCUCCCAAUGAUGUGCUUGCCACAUAAUUUUAAUUUUCGCCCAAUAAAAUUUGUAUACAACAAGUUGUUGCAUAAAAUAGCAUAUUUGAACUAGACUACACAAAUUAACAUCUUCCUGCCAAGAACUACAGUAUCAAAGACAUGAGUAUAAACGAGGGAACUAAACAACCGUUAAGAAGAAUUUAAGAUUGAAAAAAUUACAUAAAAAAGAAACAACAUUGCAAUAUAUCAACCACGAUCUUGAAACUAGGGUUUGCGAAGCUUACUUAAUCCGGUCAAAAUUAAGCCCCAUCCUCUUACCACCAUCCUGCCCUGUAUAUCACGAAGCAAACCAAAUUAAUUGGAAGCUGAAAAUUGGGAGUGAAUGAGCAUAAAAUGAGAGUGUAAUAUCAAAAAGACCUAACCCAACGAAUCAGAAAGAGGGUAAAUAGGCCUUAAAAUGGGGAAAAGGGGAGAUGGGUACUAGUGUCCAAAAUUGGAUUUUUGGAAGAGAGAGAGAGAAUUAGUGAUUAAAAACCCUAAACCCAAUGAAUCAGAAAGGGGGUAAAUAAGCGUAAAAUGUGAAAGAGGUGGAGAUGGGUAGUAUCCAAAAUUGGAUUUUGGGAAGUGAAGCAGAGAGAACUAGUAAUUGAAAACCCAACCCAAUGAAUCAGAAACUGGACAAAUAGGCAUAAAACGGGGAAAAGGGGCAGAUGGGUAGUGUUCAAAAUUGGAUUUUUGGAAGAGAAAGAGAGAGAGUUCGGGAUUAAAAACCCCUAAACCCAAUGAAUCAGAAAGAAGGUAAAUAACAAAUAGGCAUAAAACGGGGAAAAGGGGGAGACGGGUACUAGCAUCCAAGAUUGGAUUUUGGAUAGAGGGAUAGGAUAGUAACUCGUAAAAGAGGAAUCUGGGUGGAAAUGAACACUCACAAAUUGGAAAUUGGGACAAAGGGGGGAUAUGGGUAGUAUCCAACAUUGGAUCUUGGGGAGAGAGAGAGAGAGAGAGAGAGAGAGAGAGAGAGAGAGAGAGAGAGAUGUUGUAGAGAGAGAGAGAGAGAGAAUUGAGGGGGACCUGGUAAGGGGUUGUAGUAGCCCAAGAGCUCGAGAUGCUUCCCGUCCCUGGGCGAGCGGCUGUCGGCGGCCAUCACCCGGUAGAACGGCCGGUUCUUGCACCCCAAUCGCGACAGCCGAAUCCUCACCACCAUCCUCUCCUCCCCCUUCUUCCUCUCGCUCUCUCUCUCUCUCUCUCUCGCGAUUCCUCCUCCUCUCCUACAAACCCUAAAACCCAAACCCUAGUUCCGCAGCGUUGCGUUUACAACGUCCUCUUCUUCGUCUCGCGGGUGAAUAAUUACGGGGAACCCCCUUACCUUUACAACGCUCUAAACCAGGCCCUGGCCCUUUGUAGAAUUUCUUAUAAUUCAAUUUUACAUUUUAUAAUAGGGUUUCAGCAAAUUUGUAAGGUGGUGUGGAUAUAGUAGGUACUUGAAUUUUGAAGAUAAUUAUUGGUAUUUUUUUCCUCUCUUUUUAAUAAGUGUUUAUAUGGACUCCUUGGAUAUUCCACAUUGCCAAUAAAUAUUAAAAAAAAAAGUAAGAAGCUUUAAAUUUGGAAUAGUUGUCUAUGUCAUACUCAUGCACUAUGGAUAUAAAAUGAGCACCAUGAUAAUCGUGUUUAACAUGAUAUGAAAAAACAGUUAAAUUCUUUAUCUUAUACUUCUGAUAUGAGUGACUAGAAACAAUUUUUUACCGUAAGAUCGUCAAGUUUAUCAUUUGCCUUGCUUUUGAAACUGUACACUUCACUUGGCCGACGGAUCUUAUAUUUUGUCUUAAAUAAAUUAUCAUUUCGCGAGAAAGAGCAACUGCUAUUUCUAUGGUUCUAGGAAUAUAACAACUCAAUCAAUUUUUUGCCCAUAUUUAUUGUACACAUCUAAAAUGGGAAACAAAGCAUAUACCAUAACUUUUUUUUUUUUUUAAAAAAAAAGGUCCAACAAUAGGCCCACCAAGCCCAUUACAUGUGUCCACUAUAUAAUAAUGUAUGGACUGAAAAAAUAUAGUUUUAGAAUUUCGACGUGUUGCGUAAUUGGGCCGGGUUCUCACAAGCCCAAGUUCUAACUCGCUCUUCGACCGAGCUCGAGAGCACUCGGUUUGCUUACGCAUUUUUAGGUGUCGUUGGCUUAAAUAAGCUAGUAUUUCUGUCCUGUCCUAUGGUAGAGGUCGAAUUGGAUCCAGUCACAAUCAAAGCCAACGAGUGUUGUAUGGCUACAUGCGUACGGAAUCAGCUGUCGAGAUCCACACCUAUUUGGCUAUGUUAGAAUAUUCAACAAAGCGACUUUUCUCUACAGCAAAAUCGAAAACUUUCGUAAAAACAUUCUUUUACGACAGAAGUAAAAGCUUUUAAGUAGAACUCGUACUGCUUCUAAAUUUUAAACUCUAAGAACUCAUUUCAACACCUUAUGACGAGCAAAAACACUCCACUUUCACAGCCAAAUUGCUCGACUACUGUUGCCACUCAUUUCCCAAAUCGCAAAUUCACCGUAUUAGGAAAUAAAUUAAUCAUUUUUCGUACGCAUUCGAAACUACAAAUAUAAAUAGAUAGCAUGAUUUGUAUGUUUUGAUCAUUGUUAAGUGCAUGACCUUGCACGAUAUAUUACAUUAAAAUUCUAGUAAUCAUUAGUUAGUGAAACUUCAACAAAUUAUAAAAGAAAAGCAAGUAAAGCAUUUAUAGCUUAACAUUCCACAUCACUCACCUAAUCAAAUGUUUAAAAUAUCCGGAUUAAGUAUUUAAUACAAGAUUUUCUAUAAGCAUUACGUAAUAUUAAACAGCUACCGCCCAAUCGGGGUUCUCAAAUUUUUAUUUGCAUUUUAUUUUAGUUUCUGACCAUUAAAACUUUAAAAUAGUUAUUAUUAACAUAAAAUGAUCCUUUAGUUCUAUUUGAAGUGAAUUUAAAUUUAAAUUUCUAUACAUAACUUUGAAAAUUUAGUUAGUUUUUAAUUUGUGAAAAUCAAGAUUUUAAUCUUGCCCAAAACCCACGUAAGUCGAAAAAUGUGACAUAUCUAAUAAAACGCAUCUAAUCCAAAAAAAAUUUAAGCUCAUUGGUUUGGAAACAAUAACAUGUAGCAAAGUGGAUAAUAAUGGCUUUAAUUAGUUUAGUUAGGGUGUAAUUUAAAAUACAAUUUAGAGGAGAGUAUGAGUCACGCAUACAAAUAAUGCAAAUCAAAACAUUAAUUAUUGAUGAGAAUUAAUUAUUGAUGAGAAUUAAGUUGCUAAUACAAGCAAAAUCUAAAUUAAGCACUCGAUUUAUAUUAAAACAAAUCGAGAAUCAAAGUUGGUUGAGAGGAAUUAGCACAAAAGUUUAAGCCGACACAUCAUCAUCACCCACCGACCAAGCUGCAAAUUAAUUGAAAAACCCUAAUUAAGUGUUUUUUAAUUUUUUUAAUUAAUCUUUUUGACCGUAUAUAAGUAACGAUUUCAUACGUAUGAAAUUUAUAUGAUUGUAUUAGAUCAGUAUCACGUGUUAAUAACGCCUAAUAUUUUUUAAAAAACAGAAUAAUGUAUUUAUACAAUAUAUUGUAGUAUAAUAAUAAUAAUAUAUAUAUAAUAUAUAAAAGGUUUUUCUUCCACGUCACUCUUUACUUAGUAGUUAUCUUUUGUUCCUCGGGAAACACGCCGAUGCCACGUCCCCAUCGCUAUCUUCGUGAUCAUCCUCCGACGCACCCUUGGAUUCACGCCACGUGUUCUCGUAGCGACCAAUCGACCGUAUGAUCCCCAUAUGAGUUUCGCUCCGAGGGGCCAAUGCCACGUAGGACGUUACACCCGCAAAAGCGUAAUCGAAUCACUCCAUAUCCCGAUGGACGGUUGAUACGUCUCGGACGAUAAUUUCUCAUCCGUACAAUUUGUUUUGAGUGAUUCAAAGGGGUGUUACACACGGUACACCUCUGGUCACGAAUAAUGCUGUGCCACGUGGCCUGCCACAUCACCGUAGAUCUUCAGAUGUGCAAGGGCCUUCGAAGUUCGAAACGCGAAUAAUUAUAUUUUUAAUUAAUGUAAAUAUAAUUAAAGAAAAACUUUAAAAACUCCUCGCGUGGUUGCACACUUUUUCAUUUUAGUACUAUAUAAUUUAAAGUGUAUCAAGUUAGUACCAUAUGGUUUCUCACUUUAUCAUUUUAGUACCCUAUAGUCUAAAGUGUAUCAAGUUUAUUUUCUGUGGUUUUAUUUUUGUAUCAAGUUGGUUUUCUGUGGUUUUAUUUUUUUAUCAAGUUAGUACCCUGUGGAUUUAUUUUUUUAUCAAAUUAGUACCCUGUGGUUUUUAAACCACAUGGUACUAAAGUGAUAAAAUGCGAACCACAGGGUACUAAAGUGAUAAAGUGAAAAAACCACAGGGAACUAACUUGAUACACUUUAAACCACAGGGUACUAAAAUGAUAAAGUGAAAAAACCACAGGAUACUAACUUUAUACAUUUUAAACUAUAGGAUACUAAAAUAAAAAAAGUGAAACCACAAGGAGGGUAUUUGAAGUUUUUCCUAUAAUUAAAUAUGCAUAUAAUUUAAUACACUGCAGCUAAACUUAAUGUUUUAAUUUAUUUUGGAAUUUUAUAUUUGGAACAAGAAUAAUUAUUAUUAUUAUAAAUAUAUAUUUCAACUACUUGCAGUUGAAAGCAAUAUUUAUAAAUUUUAUUGUUUUAUACAAAAAAAAAGUGGACAUUUUUAUUAAAAAAAUAGUUAAAGAUGUUUGCUAAGUAGAAAAUUAUAUUCAUGCAUAUAUGGGCACCUUUUACUCAUUUAAAUCCCUAUCUAUUUGUGGACCAAUUGAAUAAUUGUGGAGCAAAUUUUCUUUUUUUUUUUUUCUGGUGAGAAUAAGAUAGCAUAUUAUUAUUCUUUUCUCAUAGGACACAAAAACAAAAUAUUAUUUAAUUAUAUAUUUCACUAUCAACUUUUUCAAGGAAAUGAAAUUUAAAUAGCACAAAAGCUAGAUGUUUGGUGCAUGCAUAUAUAAUAAAAUAAUAUAUGAUUGUAUGAUGUGAGCAAGAGAACACUUGGAUUAAAAAACAACCACAAGAAUUUAAUGAAAACACUUAAUUUCUCCAACCCCUAUUUGAGGUUCCUAUAUAUUUUUGUCACUUGUAGAUGGUGUGUAUUUUGUGUUGAAUCCUUAUAAACAUGUGUUGUAUUGAGCCUUACAUUUUGAAGUAGCUUCUCCACACACAAAACCAGUAGAUAAAAUAAAAAUGUAUAGUAAUUAUUGUGAAUUCAUGUUUGAGGCUUUUUCACUAUUUUAUGCUUAAGCAAAGCAUAUAAUUCUUAAAUAUAUAUAUUUUUGGGUUGUUUCCAUAUUAACUCCUAUCUCUCACGUUAAUUAUAUAGUAUUAGAAUUAAUCAUACACACAAAUAGAAGCAUUAAAUAUAUUUAUGAGCCACUUUGUACCGGAUCAAUUUCUUAUUAUAUAAAUAUAUUAUGAGCCAUUUUGUACAAGAUCAUUUUCUUAUUAUGUAAUAGUCGAAGGUAUUGCUUUAUCAUUCAAAUUAACCGAUAAAUUAAGAUACACUUUUGUUGAAGAGGACGUAUUUAUGCAAAGAAAUAAUGUGAUUUCACAUGUAUAUGCCUUUCGCAAUUAAUUGACAGAUACAAGAUGUACUCCGACGACGAUGCGCACUGAGUAAAGUAAAAUUUAUUAUGGGAGUACUUUUAUGAUGAUUAGGGGUUUUAAUUUGACUCUAUCAUUAUUGACAUCAAUUAAUUGAGCAUGUUUUUGACCAAUUAUAUAUGGGGCCCUAUUUCCAUGUGGUGCAAUUACUACCAAGGUGAGCAUAUGCUAUGGAAAUAUUCAAAUAUUCUUUUUUUAUUAUUUUUUGGUACAAUAAUAUGAUUUUUUUUAAAAAUAUAUAUAUUUUUAUGUAAUGGGUAGUUGGAAUAUUAGCUGGAGACUACUACUAUCCUAUUGUAGCAAUUACAACAUUCUUAUCCUAUAAAUUCAUUUAUUGUAAUGUCACAAAUAUUUCAUUGGUUAUCUUAUAUUUCAAAUAUAUAUAUUAUCAUGUGUCAUGAUUAAUUAAUUUGAAGAAUUUUAGUAAGUGCAAAUUUUCUUAAUUAAGGGUGAAAUUAAUGGUUUUGAAUUCAAGUUUUGUUGAAUUUAUCUAGAUUUAGUCUACAAUCUUUCUAAAAUAAAAUUUUAGAACAUUGGAUAUGAUCUAAAAUACCUAAAGGAUAUAUAUUUAAAAAAUCAUUAUAUAUAAUAAUAAUCUUUCUUAGAUACCAAAUUAACGGUUGUUCUUAAUUUUUUUAGGCUUCGUUUGGAAUUGCGGGAAAAUUACUGAGAAAGUACGUUGGAAAAAUACCAUAUUUGUUUCCGUGUGUAAUAUUGCGUUCCGCAUAUAGCGAUGAGUCGGUUACGGUAUAUUUUCUGCGGUCCCAUCGGAGAACGCAGAAGCAUAUCUCUAUAUGUUUUUUUCUCAACUCUAUUUUAUCUAAUAAGAUAGAUCUCAAUACCAAACUAAGCGUAUAAAACAUGAGUAAUAUGCUUUUAAAUUCUUUGAUACAUAAAUAAAAUAAUAAAUAAUAAUAAUUUUUUUCAGAUGAUGUGGUGGACCAGGUCCAUGGAAUAAUAAUUUUCUCCAAGAAUUAGUGGGCCAAUAGUGAUGAGGAACCAUUCCCUAUUCAAUUUUGGCAGCUUGGCAUGGAGUGACCCCCAUUGAUGUAUAAUGUGUCAUCUUCUUAGUAAGUAUUAGAAAUUUGGAUUGAUUCAAAGUUUUUUGUUUGAAACAACCAAAAGAGUAUCCUAAGACAAAAUAAAAGGAAUCAACUGGUGAUAGUGAUGUGAGUGAAAAUGAAAAUUUUUAGUUAUUAUUUUUAAUGUCUUUUAAUUCUUUUUCCUCCUCAAUUUAGCGUGAGAUUAUCUUUCUUAUGUAUAUAUAAUUUAUGAAAUUAAUAUACAAACUAAUUUAUUUUAUCCAAGAAGUCGAAGGCUCAGGCCUCACUAUUAUUAUCAUAGUUAUUCAGAACCCGUGCGAAAAUAAUUAAUCUAGAUGUAUCUAGAAAACUAAUAUAUAUUUUUUUUAUCUUUUACUUUUUUUAUUUUUCUAUUAUUAAUAGCUUAAUAUAAACCUUCCUUGCAAUAUUUCACUAUCUAAACUACAUAUAACACAAGCAUAUAUAGAAGGUUAAAAAAGGGUUCCCCAAAAAUCCAAGGGAAAGGAUAGAGUAGUUAAUUACUUACUGAAAGAAACACAUUAAACAAGUCAUAAAUAAAUUUCCAAAUUUAAAAAAAAUUAAAAAAAGAAGACAUUGGGUGAUUGUGUGGAGCAACUAUUCUCUUUUUUUUGGCAUUAAGAGAGACAGCUCAUCCUCAUUCUUGGCCCCAAUUGCUUGGCUUUAGAGUGAAGAAAUUAAACUCCACCCCCCCAAAAAAAACAAAUUUUCUUUUUUUUUUGCAUACAUGUCCCUGUAAAUAUAUAAAAUUGAAGAGAUGUUUCUUGCAAAGUUAGUGUUUGUAUGCAUAUUUAAUUUGAAUAAAUAAUUUAACAAUUAUACAAACAAUUAAGUUUAUUUAUAUAUUUCGUAUACGUGCCACAAAUAUAUAUAUAUAUAUAUAUAUAUAUAUAUAUAGAUAAUUCGUGCAAAUAUAUAUUCAGAUAACUGAAAAUAUUUUUAAAAAUAUAUUUAAUAUUUAUUGACUUUUAUUAUAAAAUAAUUGGUCUUGAAGUAAACUAAAUAAAGAACUUAACUACAAAACAGGGAUUAAAUACCCAUUGGAUAUAAAUAAAAAAUUCAUAAAAUUUCUUAUUGGUGCAAAGAGCCAAAGACCAAAGAUUGAGUCAAACAUAAGAGGACUAAAGUGCAAUAUAUGAGUAGUAGAGGGACUAUUCACAUAUUUCUCCCCUCAUUUUUCUUUUUUUUUAAUAAUUUUUUUUUCUCUCUCUCUCUCCUUCCUCUCUCUCUCUCCAAACAAAAGACCAAAACUCAAAUGUAGAGACAAAAAAGUAGGAAAAGUAGGAGAAAGAAAGAGAGAGAAAGAGAGGAGAGGAGAGAGAAAACUCUUUCUCUCUCUCUCUCUCUCUCUCUCCACACACCCAAAAAAGCCAAGCUCCUACUCCAUUAUUUCUCUCUUUCUUUGUUAUAUUCCUCACCACAACUCCACAAGGAAACAAAAUUAAAUUUUUUUAUUUUUUUUUCAAAAAAAACCUCAACCUAACUUCCCCAAAUCCCCAAUCCCCCUCCUCUCCCCUCUCCAAAAUCCAAUCUUUUUCCCCAAUUCCUCACCCUAAUUUCCCAAUAUAUCAUCACAAUCACCCCCUCCUCCUCCUCCUCCACAAACCACGCCUAUUUGGCUAUUUCCUUCUCAAAGUCGCCUCCUUUUCCUCUAUUUUCCCCACUUUUAACCCCCUUUUUCCGAAGAAAUUGGGGAGUUUAGCAUCUGGGUCUCGUGGAGAAUCGGAAAAAGGCCAUGUCUGAAUCUUCAAUUGAGCCGCCAUUGAGAAGGUUCUCGAACCUCCGGAGCGUGCGGUGGCGGGUCGAUCUAGGGAUUUUGCCUUGUUCGGAUUCGUCCUCCAUCGAUGAUCUUCGAAGGGCCGCGGCUGAUUCGAGGAGAAGGUAUAAUUUUUGGCCAUUUUAGGUAUUUUUUUACAAUUUUUUUUUUCAAGUUUUUGGGUAUUUAUAUGAUUUUUUGUGGUAAAAGUCCUUUUUUUUGGGCCAUUCAUAGUUAACUUUUGUGAUGUUUAUAAAGUUUUAAGUUGGUUAUUUCUUGGGUUUUAAUCCUUUUCGCCCUCGUAGAUGGAAUCUCUGUGAUUUUUCAAUUAAGUAGUUACUUUUUUUUUUUUUGUAUUGUUUAUAGAGUUUGGAUGCUAAUGUAAUUUUAAUUUAAUCAUUUCUUAGGGGUUUUUUUAGUCAUUUUUUUCUUUAAUGUGUUAUUGUUUUUGCACUUGAUUUGUUUUGUUUUUUUUUUUAAAAAAAUUCUGUGCUUCUAUUUGUAUGAACUGUGAAGAUCUUUAUUAGAGCAGGAAAAUUUUCUGUUAAUAUUUUUUUUUCUUUUUCUUUUGGUUUAUUUUCUUAUGAUAUAAACAAGUUCCAAGAUGAGAUAAAUUUUUCAUGAAGUAAUAUUUGGGAUAAUUUGUCUCUUUGAUGUGUGAAACUGUAGAUUUAAUUCCUGAUCUAAACAAUUAAAAAUUUGUACUUGUAUAUAUGUAGUUCAUAUUCUCAUUAUCUUGUUGUUUAGUAUCAUUAUCUUCUUUGUUCCUGUACAAAAUUUAUAACCAUACAUCCAAAAUUAUCUCCUCAACAAUUGUUGGUCAAUUUAUUGCAACAGCAGUAACCUUUUAGAGGAAAUAGAGGACAAGUUUUAGCCUAUCUAUCUCCAAUUGUGUGAGCUUUAGACAAUUCUUAUGUACCAUUUUUAGUUAUCUAAUAGUGAAUCAUUAAUAGGGGAUAGCUAACAUUCUCAAUAUUUGUCUAUUGGAGUAGAGCAUUUAUUGCGACGGAGUCGAACUGCUGCGAAAAUUUUCCUUUUUCCUCAUAUGUUUUACUGAAAGAGUGUGAAUGCAUCUGACGAUUACGUCAGAUCGUAUUAACUGUUGGUCGGUUUAGCGAUUAUUUAGUUUCUUUCGUUCAACUACAUUUGGUCGAUUCUAAUUGUUCGAAGAACUCGCCCUGCGCAGGUACGCAUCUUUGAGACGUCGUCUUCUAAUAGACUCGCAUCUUCCCGCUGACGAGAAUGUAUCCUCUGACCUUGUUAUCGACAACCCUCUCUCACAAAAUCCAGGUACUUAUUCAUUUUCUUCAUACUCGGUUAUAAUAGGCUUCGCAUUUGUCGUAUCUUACUCUAUUGUGGCUUCACUUAAUGUUAUUAAAUUUGCUUGUAAAUUACUGUUGAAAAUUGCUGGAUACAUCCCCUCUUCAAAAUUUUUUGGCAAAACACUCAGAAAGCUCAUUUUUGGGAAAAAGUUACACUGCUAAUAUUUAUCAAAAUUGAAGGAAAAAAAACUUAUUUUUUCGACCCAGUUUUGCUUAAAUGCGGUGAUUCCUAAUUACUUCCGAUGAUCUUCGUUGCAUGUACUUUUAUAGACAGCAAGUGGGGUCGUCUUUUCCGGAAUGCUGAGCUGGAAAAAGUGGUCGACGAAGAUUUAUCCCGAUUAUAUCCAGAAGAUGGCAGCUACUUCCAAACACCUGCAUGCCAGGCCAUGUUGAGGAGAAUCUUAUUGUUGUGGUGUAUUCGGCAUCCUGAAUAUGGAUAUCGGCAAGGCGAGUUUUCCUUCUACCGACUACAGAUUUUUUGAUUUUUUUUUUGGCCCAAUAACUGUCUGAACUACAUCUUUCGUUACACUGCGGAACUCAACGCAAUCAUUUUAAACAUAUUUUCAGUUAAGAAAUCAAUCAAUUUUAUUCGCCUUUCCUCUUUCUUAUAGGAAUGCAUGAACUAUUGGCUCCUCUUGUAUACGUUCUCCACGUUGAUUUGGAUCAUCUUUCUCGAGUCCGAAAACUUCACGAGGACUGCUUCAUUGACGUCUUUGAUGGAAACAACUCUUUUCCCGACGUCGACCUCAUUUCCAAUUACAGAUUCCAAAAAACCAACAAAUGGGAUUCAGUACCGGGAAAAGGAAACGAUUCGCACGAAUCCACCCCUAAAACCAGCAGCAUCGACGACCUAGACCCCGAAACGAAGGAAAUAUUUUUGCUGAGCGAUCCCUACGGUGCAGAAGGUGAGUUGGGCAUUAUAUUGUCUGAGCGAUUUAUGGAGCACGACGCCUACUCUAAGUUCGACGCUUUAAUGAACGGGGCUAAUGAUGGCGUAAUUUCAAUGGCUGAGUUCUUCUCUCCUGCAUUAAGUAUCGGGUCGAGUUCAGGUUUACCGCCUAUAAUUGAAGCUUCAUCGGCAUUAUAUCAUUUGCUUUCGGUUGUGGAUUCGUCCCUUCACUCUCACUUCGUUGAACUGGGUGUCGAGCCGCAAUAUUUUGCACUUCGGUGGUUGCGAGUUCUAUUCGGGCGAGAAUUCGCCCUAGACGAUCUUUUAUUAGUUUGGGAUGAACUAUUCGCCUCUUCCAAUCAUAUGUGUAUAGAGAGUAAUACAGAAUAUAGCUUCAAGCUGCUAUGCUCGGGACGAGGGGCUUUUAUUGCAGCGUUGGCGGUAUCAAUGCUUCUUCAUUUAAGGUCGUCGCUCUUAGCCACUGAGAACGCGACUUCGUGUUUACAAAGGUUAUUGAAUUUCCCUCAAAAUGUCGACAUGAAGAAGCUUAUUGAGAAAGCAAAAGCACUUCAGGGUCUCGCACUUGAUGUAGGCUGCUCAUCGACUUCUUCCCAUUUUAGUAUCAGUAAGAAUAAUUUGGCAGUAAGGAGAGGUUACAGUCUCCCGACCGGUUCGGCUUCUCCGAAAAGCCCCAACCACUCAUUACCAGACAGCUACUGGGAAGAGAGAUGGAGGGUUUUGCAUAAAGAGGAAGCACUGAAAAAGGGAAAUAAAUCUCUCGGCGAGAGAUUCAAUUUGUCUCGAACCGAAUCCGAUCCUUCUCCGGCGAAGAAUGCACAAACUAAAGCGAGAGCUCCAUCUGCUACGGUGAGGCGAAGGCUUUUUGAUGAUUCACCGAAAGAUACGAGGAAGUCAGACGCCGAUGAUGGUAGGUCACGAUGCGAUGAGAAUCCUGCAGCGCCGAUUGAAAGCGUUUCUCUCUCCAAUAAAGCCGACCGGGAAAAGCAAUUUGAGGAAGAGGGAAGUUCGAGCGGGGAGAACUCUUCGGUGCUUUCGGCGACGCUUAGCCACGACGAAAGCAUUGGGAAUGAUCCCGAAAACGAGUCGGAGAAAAGUAGCGUUACGUCGAAUUCAUUCAUCGGCGAUAACGAUGAGGAGUCAUGCAGCCAGGAAUUCAUCAUCAGUCAAGCAGUUCAAGAAGCAGAAGCCGCUUCUUCUUCCGCCAAAGCCGAACGAGCUGGAUCGCUGCUGGAGAAGAGCGCGUCGUUGAAGGAGAAAAAGCCCCUCUCGAGUAAACUCCAGUGGCUUUGGAAGUUCGGGAGGGCUUCUGGCGAAGCGAAUACGGAGAAGGGCGGAGCUGAGGAUUCGGAAAAACAAUCGAGCGUAAACAACGGGAAGGAUAGUUCGUGCUGCUCGGCUCCGAACGGGACUUGCAAUUCGUGCGAAGCUACUAGUCGGAGGGUAGAUGUCGGGGAUACGAAAGUUAUGGGCACUUUGAAGAAUCUGGGGCAAUCCAUGCUCGAAAAUAUUCAGGUAUGAUGAAAAUUCUAUUCUCUUAUCCUAAACAAAGGGGUGGAAUGAAACCUUAACGCAGUUCUUUUAUUUCUGGUUAAAAACUCUCUCUUAUCUUUCUUUGCUGCAUCUUACUUACAAAUCCAGUGAUCAAUUUAUUGGAACUUUUCGUUUCUGUUCGGUAAAAUGGUUUCGAUAGGUAAGAUGAAAUUUUUUGUUUUGGUUUUUUAGGUGAUCGAGUCGGUGUUCUCGGAGGAUAACUUGUCGUCGAGCAACGUUCUCGGAGGGAAAGGGCAAGCGACGGCGAUGGCGGCGCUCAAGGAGCUCCGGAAAAUCAGCAACCUGUUGUGUGAGAUGUGAGAUGUGGGAUGAGGUGAGCUGCUGCAUUAUGUAUCCACCUACAAUUUUUCCCAGGAAUAACACCAUUUAUUAUUCUAUGGCCUCAUAACAAUAAUUAAGGAAAAAAAUGAAGUGUCUAGGCCUUUUUUUUUUUUAAUUUCCCCCCAGGAGUUCAUAUAUUGUUUGUAUUUGCAUCAUGUACAAAGCCCCCAUUUAAAUGUAAGAUUUUAUUUUUUUUAAAAAAAAAAUUAAUUGAAGAAGCAAUUGUUCAACUUGAUCGACCAUCUCUUUUAAUUCUCUCGUGUUUAAUCUCUCUUCUUCAGUUUGUAGCUUUUUUUUUCUUUUCUUAAAUCAGCAAUCUCUCUUAUUAGUAGCGGGCAUCUCUAUUAGUUCUCUCUUUUAUUUUAUUUUAUUUUAUUAAUUAACGUGCAUUGCACGCAUGCGACCGCUGAGAUUAUGAGGAGUCCGCACGGAGACGAAAGUAUGCGGUCGAAGGCUCAAAUGUUCGGGGGAUAAUGUUAGAUAUAUACAUAUACAUUGUACGCGGCCCCCACCUCACUAAUAAUUGAAAAUAUUAAUGAAUGAUGAGAUGUGAUGAGAUAAUAAAAUCCAAAAAACGAUGCUGCUAACGCUUGGUUGGUAAGGUACUAGAAGAAAUGUUUGGUGUGAGGUGACCUCCCCCAAUAAAACAUCGAUAAUAAAAAGCAGCAGCAACUCAAUAAUGGCAAUAAUGGAGACAAACAAGUUUGGGAGAGAGAGAGAGAGAGAGAGAGAGAGAGAGAGAGAGAGAGGUAUCCAACCACAACCAUUUGCUCUUUUACUUUUUGGGGGGUCCCUUUUAUUAAUGUUUUGGUGUGGCCCUCUCUCUCUCUCUCUCUCUCUCUCUCUCUCUCUCUCUCCGUUUUGUGUAUUAGAGGAGAAUCUACACCAUUGCUUAUUUAGUGACUGUGAGCUCAAGCUAAACAAUUUCUUUGAUUUAUUUAUUAUAAACAAAGAUCAUUGAGUAAAUCUCAUGUAUUAUAAUAUUAGAAUAUAGUACAAAAACUAAAAGAAUAAUAAAAAUAAUUGCCCAUAUCUGGGGCUCUACUAGGUCCAUCUACACCAAUACUACUGAUAAGUACAGGGGGGAAUAUUUCUCAGCGCAAAAUAUGAUCCAGUUUCCUCACGAAAAAAAAAAGAGUCUACAUGCAUCUUAAAAAAAAAAUAAUAAUAAUCCAUGUGCAGCCUUAGCAUUUGAAUUUUGUAGAAGGACCAUAGAAAAAUAAAAAAAGAAUCCAUGUGCGUCUCAAAGAAAGUUUAAUUACCAUGUGCUGCAAUUAUUAUUAUUAUUAUUAUUAUUAUUAUUAUUAAAGAACGUAAGAUCAACAUUCCCCUUGUCUUUGUGCUAAUGAAAUGGGUCUACGCGAUUCUAGCUAUAAGUCAUCUGUACCAAUGGAAAAUGCCUCGCACACAAACUAUUCAUUCAAGAACAGUAAGAUUCAAGCAUACAUGUAAUUGAACAAGAGAUCCUUUCGUAAUCAUCAAGCAAUAAUUAAUGAGGCACAAAGUUUUAGCAGGUUACGUAUGUUUUCAUGAGAUAAGAUAAAGGAUAAAUGCAUGGGUGAUGAUGGGCUAACCAGAAUGUACCACGAAACUCUAGUGCCACAUCUACGGGCUUCGACGAGCCUCUCGGCCACCCGAUUUCGGUGCAAGAAUUGUCAUGCCAGUUUACAGAGUCUGACAUAUCGGCACGUGCCGCUCGUGUGAAUAAACUCAUGCAGCCCACUGAGUUCCUGCUAAUUGUGCCAACAUAUCAAACAGAGUGUGUCGAGACGUACCAGCGUGUCGAAGCAUACAUACAGAUGGCAUCGACCUGUCCCACGUCAGUGUCAAAAAAACAAAAAAAACAAACCUUCUGGUUUUUAUGACAAAGUAGUUAAAAUAUCCUCGGUUUUUCUAACCAACCAAAGGGUCAAAAUAUUUUCCUUUUUCUGUUUUUUUUAUAAUUUAUUUUUGUUGACUGACCCACAGAGAAAUUAGAAUCUUACAAUAAGAAGCCACCAAACAUCAGAAGUAUAAAAUGUCGUAAAUUUUUCCAUAACACAGAUGCAAUGUUACACCAAAAUUCAAGCAAAGAUCAUACCGGAAACAUCAUAAGAUAAACUACAUGCUGAAUUGUGCUACAAAACCCAGUUUCGUGGCAGUGGGAUUAGCAGCAAAUAGUUGACAUAGCGGUAGUCAAUUGUACUAACCCGAAACUCUCAGUAGAUCCCAGGUAUAAUCCUGUAAGGGACUUUGUCACAGUACAUCUUCCAAUAUUUUCCAUACCUGUUAAGAGCCCAUGAAAACAUUAUAAUAUACAUCUCAGAGUAAAUAGUGUAAAAAAAAAAAUGUAGAAGUGCAUGCAUAAGAGCAUGUAGAAAAUUGUGCAAGAAUGAUCAAAGCAUGAUCUUGCGAUCACUGAUAGUCUGGUAAAAUCUAACAAGUGUUAACCUGAAGAAAUGGAGCUAUUACUAGUCAAGUUCCUGAAAAAAAAAAAAAAAAAAAAUCAUACUAAAAGAAUUAUACCUGCUAAGAGCCGGAACCUAUGUUUAAACUUGAUAAGCUAUUAUCGCUAAGACAAAAUAGGAGGGAUCUAUUUCCAAAUAGCUUUUACCAGAAUAAGUUUAAAUGCCAUUGAAGUACACCAAAAUCUUCGUAUAACUCUCUAUCAGGUGAGUGAGGCCUAAAGCUGAUAAAAUAACAUAGAGAAGUACCCAAUAGCCUCAGAAACGAAAGUCGUUCUCUAACAUUCUUCAUUUCUAAUGGUGAAGGAUAAAACAGUAAUUAAAGACAAAGAAAGCUACUGAUCGGAUAUUUGUUCACUCACUUGGACGAGCACCGAUCAUCGUCCCUUUUCGCCCGGUCGAAGAGGAGAAUAGUGAGGAACACCACAUAAAAGUAAGGCAGGAACUGCAGGGGUGCAAUAAAAGAUAUAAAUAAAACUAACCCACUAACCUUCAGAAUUCAAAUAAGAGAGCAAUAAAGAAAAGUUUUUACAUGGUUGAAGAGUGCCGGCACUGUCCAGAAAAAUGCAGCUAAUAUCUCCGGUACAUAGUGGAAGUGACGAGAUAAACCCCACCUGUUCAAAAGGUUCAAAAUUAAUGUUCACGCCGAAUACCCUUAUUAGAUAACGUUUGAUUGCGAAAUAGGGCUUACGCUAUCACAGAAGAAAUAACAAUAACCAAAAAGAAAAAAAAAAUUAUAUAUAUAUAUAAAGCUUCUCUGUAUAAGGAAAACUGAAACCUCGGCUUCAAACUCAGAAGCUCCAGUUUGAAGUUUUGGCUUUUGCAGCAAUAGAAAAAAUGUUCAGGGAAAUUGUAAAGAAAAAGCUAAUAGUGGUUCUUUGAUAACUUCAAUCAAGCUGCACUUCUCUACAUGAUCCAUCCAGGCCAAACAGGCCAAUGUGAUAUCAAACAAGUCAAUCAAAUAUUGUUUGAAGCAAAACAUAAAAUUUUUGACUUGUUGACAAUAGCUAGUACAAUUAUACAAGAAGAAGAAUCGAGAUAAGCUUACCAGCCAGAGGUUAAGAGAAGGCUGUUUUUGGUUUCUCCUUUUGUGGUACGAUAUUGGGCAACAAUCUGAAAAUGUGUUUACGGGUUACAAGAUAUCCCCCAUCAAUAAGGCCGAAAUAGAGUUAGUGAGGAAAUUAAAUAUACAACCUUCGAUGGAGCUUUGCCCCAAAUUGUGCACUUCCCAUUUGUUCUACGGAACUCUUGGCGUUGCCUAUCGCAGUCGUAGUUAAUAUAUAUGCAGAGAAGUCCAGCAAUUAGAAUAGACAGUGCAAGCUGCAACACAUAAAAGUUCAUUAAAUGCUUCGGUUAAAUUGCCAACCAUAAUAAUUAGCUAUUCGUAAACGAGAUAAAAUUACCUGGGUACCCAGAUUCACUGGGUGGUUAACAAGGUACAUUCCAGGAGAAGUAUAGAUUGAUGGGACCCAAACCAAGCACCCCCAGCAUAUAUAGAAACCAGCUGAUAAAUGUAAUUUCAGCUAGAAGUUAAUUAAAGACAAUGAAUAAAAAUAUAAAAUAAUAUAUAUGUAAGAACAGUUUCUGUUUUAAGCUAAAAGGACCGAAUCAUAGAAGUGCAUUAAAUACGCAUUUUAGAUCAAGAUUUAAACAGGAUUGCCCGGAGGCCCAUAAAAUUACAGAAACACUGUUGACAUAAGCCCAUGGUAGAUAGAAAGCUAUAUAUGAUUGCGGGAGUAAACUAUCAAUUUGUCUUCAUUAAAAUUUAUUUGCAUUUGAAGGUUAUAAAUAAACAGAGAGCCAAGGAUAUUCUUUAAAACUGAGCAAGUUCAAGAGUACAUCAUUAAGAAGCUUAAGAAAGAAAGGCUACAUAAUUGUGAUGCAUCAGUGUUGUUAUAUCCUAUAUUAUGCUGCAAAGAAAAUCAGCCAAAUUAAAUUCACAGGCAAUCUAUUUAUGUUCUUACCUCUAUCAUGGGCAAUGUCCAUAGUGCACCAGUAUCCCGACUCCCACAAGAAGAACUUUGUGAUAUAGACCAGCAUUAAUGCAGUGUUCACGAGCAUAGAAUCAGACACUUUGCCGUACAACUCAUACUGCAGAAUACAAAAAUGUUCAAUAAGGACUAAAGAAGGUAUGCACAAUAACCAUAUUGCUACCUGAGUCUUGUAUGACUGCCACUAAACUGUAGUAUUAGAUCCAACCUCUUAUUUUCUAUCCAGGAUGUAUAGCACAAUAAAAAUGUUUACCUGCUUGAUGCAAUAGGUUACAGCAAGAACAGCCCAUGACAUCAUGCCAAAUCGGCAGUUUGUGAAAACCUUAAUGUCGAAAUGUUUACCAAUUCGAGGAUAGAGUUCCAUUCCCUGCAAAAGGUACAUCAGUAUCAAACAACUAAUUCUUGGAGAACCUUCAUAUUUGAACAUGCAUAACUUAAUGUGAAAAGAAUGUGUGCUUUCUCCAUCAGAGUUGCAUGAUUGGUUUUUGACUUGAUUUAAAAAUUUAAGGAUUUCUUGUCUGAUUCAUGAUGCUUGCUAAUUGAACAAUAUGCUGAGUUUCAUAACUGAUAAUUAUAUUUACUACGCGAGAGAAUUGCAUAGAAAUCAGUGUCUUAUCCAAGACUUAUUUUCAGGUCCUUUGCAAACAGUACCUUGCUAAGGACAUCAUCACCUCUCAGCCUCCCUUCUUAUUGCACUUAAAUGACUCAGUUAAGAUAAAUACAAGAAAAUUGAAGUUUAUACAAAAUUUGGUGAGGUGAAAGGAUUAUUAUAAAGGCACAGGUCAACAGAUAAAGCUAAAAGCUAUUAGGUACAACAAAGAUAAGAUUCUUUAUAUGAUAAAACAUUUCAUGAAACUCUGUAACUGCAUAUUCUCGACUAUAAACCAAAAUUUAGCUUUACAAAACAGACUUCAAAUGAAUUAAGUAUGACUCACCCAAUAGAAAUCAAUAAUCACAUUCCCAGACGACCCAGAAUCAGACGAGGAUGGUGCCAAGUGACCCUUCAGAAAAAAGGACCCAUUAAAUUAGGAAUAAUGGUGUAUCGAGUAUGCAACAGAAUCGAGCAAUCAACAUUUGAGAAGCUUACUUUUAUGUACAAGAAAAUGCAGAAGACAAAACUGCCCACAACAAGUGCCGAAUAGAUCUCCCCCAAAUGGUCAUAUACAAUUGCAGGGUUAAAUAUCCCAAACCUAACAAAGAAGGUGGUUAGUGUAUAGUAUAGACAUACAAGAACAUCAUUCUAGGCGACUUCUAUCAAUAAAGGAAACAUGAAGGAAAAGCAUUGGAACAUAUAGAAAGAAACCUACAAGCAAAUGUUUGUUGCAUAUUCGACAUAAUAGAAACAGUUCACAAAAUGACAAUCGCAAAUAGCCUAUAUUUUAUAUCCUUAAAAUAAGAUCACAAUAAAUAA